UUUUUUUUUGUACCGGGGGACGAUCAUUUGCUCGGGCUACCCCUGAGUUGACGUCAGAUGUACAUUACGUCCAUAACAAUUACUAGUAUGUUAGUCCAUGAAUUGCUUGCUCGUAUUUAAUGUGAUUUUGCAACAAAAGAAAGUACAAGUUUAUUUUAUACGCACUAUGAACUUAUCAAUGGAAACAUAAUUUUAUUUCGUAAAUUAAUAAGGGAUGGAUAGUUGUCUAAUUGAGCUGGGUUUCAAGGAAGACCAGUGGUAGAAAAAUACUCCGUCUUUACCGAAAUACUUGUAGUAGUAGAUGCGAGGAAAUAUAAUCAAACAUGAACAGCAAGGGAGAAAUNNNNNNNNNNNNNNNNNNNNNNNNNNNNNNNNNNNNNNNNNNNNNNNNNNNNNNNNNNNNNNNNNNNNNNNNNNNNNNNNNNNNNNNNNNNNNNNNNNNNNNNNNNNNNNNNNNNNNNNNNNNNNNNNNNNNNAGAUUAGACAUGAAAAGUGGCAUUUUAUGCCAAUCCCUUAUCUGGUAUCGUGUGAAUAUUACAUGUGGGAAUUUGAAAGAGGUGUUUAUUCCAUUGUUUGUUCUGUGGGAAUUCAUGCAUUAGCCGAGAGAUGACAAGUUUAGUUACGAUGAAGGGUCGAGAUGUGCUCCAUAAAUAUUUACUCACACAAUCUCAUAUGGACAUGUAGUCCCAAAUAUUUACUCACGGGACAUGUAGUCCCAUAUAUUUACUCACAUAUCUAAUGGAGAUAGAGAUAGGCAGGGCUAAAGCUGACUUUUAGAACAUGGGGGCAUUGGAGCACUUUCUUUUUACCACCCCAAAGCAUGUGCUUAAAAGUUUUGAAUUUUCUUGAUUUUUGUUACAUGAAUACACAUGCAUGUGGUUUAAGUACCUGUGAAAUUUCUUUCAAUAAUACGUAUUGUACGUUGCACAAAACAAGACAAAAGGUUGGCCCAAAAUCGACAAAAAAAAAGUAAACCCCAAAUUUGCAUGUAUUUUGUCCUUUUUUUAUUUCACAUGGAAACACGUAUAUUUGAUGAAAUUUGCACAGCUACACGUGCAUGUACACAAAAAAUUACUCCGCUUUUGCAACCAUAAAAUCUGUUUUUUGAACUUUAAAGAAACGUGCUCCUAUGCCCCGUGCUCACAUGUCACUUUGUAGGUAGGUAGGAUCACCUAGUCAUCGCCUGCCCCCCCCCCCUCCCCCCGCGUCGCCCCCGCUCGGGCGACUCGGGAGGGAUCUGAAACCCUAGCCGUCGGGGGUCCCCAUCCUUCCUCCCCUCCCUUCGCCGCCGCCGAAGGACGCCGCCGGCGAUAGCCCGGGGCUGACAGCGGUGGCGGGGGUCUUCCCUCUUGCCUGCGUCGUGGGGGCGGUGCGGAGCCCCGCGGCGUGGGUGGCACGGCCGAUCUGGCUUGGCGGCGCGGCGGGCCUGCCUUCCGGCGGCGGCGCGGCGGCUGCCUCGGCCAAGGGCCGAUCUGGCCUGGCGGCGCGGCGGGCCUGCCUUCCGGCGGCGGUGCGGCGGCUGCCUCGGCCAAGGGCGGCGAUGGUGGGGUGUGGCAGCCGGCUCUGCCUCGGGAAGCAUGGCGGCGGCCGGGUCUGCGGCGACACACCAUCUGACCUCGGAUCGGCGGUGGCGGCAUGGAGGGCCUGGUGGUUGGGUCGGCACCAUGCGGGUUGUGCCCUCCGGACAGAUCUGAUCUGGCCGGUGCGGUCUGCUCGAUGUGCGGCGGCUCAAAUUGGCAGCGACCCGUGUACACAAUACGUGAUGGAGGUUCUUCGAGCGGAUCCGGGUGAAAACGUUGUGCUCGGCUUGAUGCCAAGACCGGCGUUGGUGGCACCGUUUUGUGUCAUUACCUUCUUGAAGGCAUCGCCGUGGAGAAGCUCUAGACCUCAUCCGCUACCUCCGGGGGAAACCCUAGUUGAUCGGAUGACGGCGGCGCGUUGGUGUCGUUUCCUCCUUGGGGGCGUCAUUCUUGGAGGCUUACACGGGAUCGAGGGACCAGCGGGCGCCUUUUUGGUGGAGCGGUGCUUCAUCCUUCACAUUGAUGACGGCGGAUCUCGGCGGCGUGAUGCAGUGGAGACUCGGUGCCCAAUGCGCGGUGAUGAACUCGCGCAGGUGGAGGUAGUUGUCUGGCGUCAAGGUGGCGUCGAUGACGGAGUGACCCGACAAGGUAGAAGCCUCAAUAUCUGCUCUGAAGACGGACCGGUGGAAGAUGGCGGCGACGACACAUGUGAGUGCGUCAGACCAGUUUAUGCCCCAGACCCGGUAUGUGGCUCGGCUGGGGCUUCUGGCUUUUGAUGAUAGGAUUAGGUGAGUAGUCUGGGUAUGUGGCCCAGGUAGCAUCCCUGCAUCAUUUGGAUAGGAGUAGUGGCAUAAGUUGCCAAGAUGACGGAUUCAGACAUAUUGUUGUAAUACUUUGUAAGGUCCUCGAGAAUAAUCAAAAAAGUGGCUGUAUGCAUCUCCCAGAUGCUGAGGCCGGGGGUCAUCCUCCUUUUCUAAAAAAAACAUAGUCAUCGCCUACUACUUGAGUUGACCAUCCGGCCGGUCUCCCUCUCGUCUCUCCAUUCCCCAUUGUCACCAAUUUCCACCGUAGCUAGUCUGUCCGUGUGUUGCCCGGUCUGUAUCCGGCCGGAGAUGAUGGAGCCGCCGUCGCUCUCGUUGCGCAGGCGAGUUGGGACGGUUGGCCGUGCGGUGGAGGGAGGCGGCCUCCAGCACGCAGGACACGGCGUGGACGGGUGUGCCAGUACGGCAGAUGUGGCGGCUGCGGCGUUGUGGAGGCGCAGAUCGACGCUCCGAAGCCGAAUUCCUCACCCCUUGGAGCUGCGUGCAGCGGUUCCUCUCCAACUCCGACCGGUUCGAUCUCGGUCGUCAAAUUUCCUUUGCCGCACACGUUCCUUUCCUCUGUUCUCUUCUAGCAAGUGGUAAGCAAUGGGUCCCUGAACUGAAGAGUAUCGUCAUUUCAGUAAUUUGAUCCUUGUAUCGUGUAUCAAGAAUCAUGCAAAAUGAACUGCGCACAAAUAUAGCAACCCUCGCUGUCUUUUUUUUCGGAAAAACUUCCAAUCUAUUCAUCUUUAAUCAUGGCAGUACAACGAAUAUCAGAAAUAAAAAUUACAUCCAGAUUCAUAGACCACCUAGCGACCUUAAUCUGAAAUAACAUCCUGUACUAUUUCAAAAGGCACAGAAAUUCUUCAUAUUCACCAAUCUCUGUCAUUUGUUGUCAAACUAAUUAUCAACAUGCAUCUCUCGAUAGUUUUAUACUUCCUCCGUUCCUAAAUAUAAGUCCUUUUAGAGAAUGGUAUCUUCGCGAUAUUAAUAUAUUUCUUUUAUCGAAAAGUUUUUUUAGAGAUUCCACUAUAGAGGUUACAUUCGCAUUUAUAUGUACUAAUAAAUAAUGUGUCUGCAGGCUGACACACCCUUGGCACAAACUUCUCCACGCCCUACCCGGAAACUGAGAGAAUGAGUCUGCGAUUCAGCCACCGUCCUGCGGCGACGCAGCCUAUUGUACUCAAUGAACAAGCCAUUGUUGACAACCUUACUGAAGAUAACAUGAAAAUGACGUGGGCUAGCAGAAGGACAUGGGAGGACGAACAUCUCUACUUAGUCCAUGGUCAGGGUACUGCUGCAGGCAACACUCCCCCGUGCACGUUGGCCGUCAAGAAGUUCCAGAGCAUUAACCAAGCGCUGCAAGUAGACAACAAUGCCAAGUACCGCUACAAUUCGGAGAUGUUCCUGUUAGCUAGCAAUUCUCAUGAUAACAUCAUCAAAGUCGUAGGCCUCAUCCAGAGGGAAGACACAAUCAUGCUCGUUUACGAGUAUCCGGUGAACGGCAGCCUUCAGUCCUGGCUGAGCCAACCAAUGGAUGCUGGUCAGCCACUGAGCUGGCCGCAGAGGAGGUUCAUUGCCAUUGGUGUGGCCAACGGGCUCUGCCACUUGCACCACAGAUGCAAAAGGCCGAUUAUCCACCACAACAUCAACUCCAACAACAUCUUGCUUGAUCACAAUUUCAAGCCUGUGAUAGCCGGUUUUGACGCUGCACAGAUGAACAUGGCCGGGCUCGACCAACCGUUGCCAAUUGCGGGCCUGCCUCUUGGUAACUUUGGGUACGCAGCUCCAGGUAUGUUGGGCGAUCGAUGCACACAAUGGAAUCCUGUCUUAACAUUUCUUAAUCACAGGGAAUUCUGUCUUAACUAGCUUGGUCUAUUAACUAGUACACCAUAAAUGAUUAACUGCAGAAUAUGGGGUCGCAGCAAGCGAGCUGACGGAGAAGGUCGACACAUACAGCUUUGGGGUGCUCAUGCUGGAGCUCGUCACGGGGCGAAUGGCCAAUGAAGCUGGAGCGGAUGGUCAUUUGGCGACUUGGGCGCGGAAGAACUUCACUGAGCUGAUGGCAAACCAACAGGAAAUGUUCCAGAGUGUCGUGGACGCGGACAUCCCAGAUCAAGCGCGGUACAUGAAGGAGAUGGCAACUGUGUUUAGGCUGGGUGUUGAUUUCACCGUUGUUGAUCCACAGAAAAGGCCGUCCAUGCGAAUGGCUCUCAAACGACUCUGCCGCGGCUGUGGGCGUGGCCCAUUCCGUGGCCUCCUCGCCUGCUAUCUGAUGUGAUGCUUGUUGUCUUUUCUAGACGUCACGAAUGAAUGGUCCAUAUGAUGACUCGGUUGAAUAAAUUUGUAGAUACAUCUCAAGUACAAGUAAUGACGUGGACUGUCCUGCCUUUUUCUGAGAACAUUUUGCUGUCCAGUUGUGUUCACCUCUGCAAAAUUCUGCUGCUUGUUUUCCUUCUCUGUGUGCAAACACUUCUUGCUUGUGAGCACUUGAGCAACUAGUAUCUGGCAUAUUGCUAUUUGUUACAUUUUGCAGGGUCACGUUUUAUAUGUACUUUCCUUCUGCUGACUGAAGCAGCACUGAACUACCCAACAGGUCUUGAACAUGUACUAUGUCUGUGUUUAGCUUGAAAAACAUGCAUUGACAGUCAUCACUAUUGUUAGCUAGGUUCAGUCUUUUUUGUGGUCCCUUCUUUGUUGUUUUUACCCUACUAUUAUUCGUAUUUUUCCUCGACUAUUUGUUCUUGACACUCAUAUUGCUUUCUAGUCAGGAUGGCCCUGCCAUAUCCAUUUGCUACAAUGCCUUCUUCCAUCACGAGACAGUGAUCUUAGGUACUUAAUACCAGUCAAACCAUGAUUCACAAGCACUUAUUUUACUGCUGUCUAAUAGCUUCAUAUGUUGUGUUUCCGUGGGCAUUCCCCAAGAACAGAUGUACAGAAAGCUUUCUUUCAGGAGACCAGACUGAACCUGAUCAGCAAUCAACCAUCUCGCCUGCUCUGCCAUUUUGCUGUUUUUCUUAACAAAGUAAUAUUCUUCUUUUCUGUAGAUCUUGCCUGUAAUUACACACCACUCCAUCUGCCUCCUCUGAUACGAAAGAAGCACUAGCGCCUGCCAAGGUAUGAUUUGACAAAAGAUUGUUUCUGUUCUUGCUAAAUAGGGCACGAUAUGUGCAAAUUGGAUGAAACUAUUUCGGUUGUUGCUCGCCAUAAAACUCCAAUGCGUUUGUGGAACUGUUUGACAGUCAUAGUCAUACAUGCCUGGGGGAUCAACUCUGGUCUGAGUGUUAAAUCAGUAAAAAAAAUACUACCCAUGAAUUUAUAUUCAAAGGAUCUUCACCACUUGGGCAAGCACAUAUCCUAUUUGCAUUCAAACUUGAUGAUCAUUGCAUUCAAACUUGAUGGUCAUUGCAUUUCAAUGGUUGAAAAUAUGAACAAAAAUAUUUCAAAAUAGCUUAUAGGAGUCAUAUUGACAUGGAGAUUUGACUGGUCUCACCUCGAGGUCGGAGGGGGUCCGUGACGGGGACGGCGGCGGCGAUGACAUGGAGAUUUGGCUGCAAAAACAAAAUAAAAAUAAAAAUAUUAUUAUCCUCAUCUUAAGACUUAGUGAAACCCUAUAAGCUAUCUACUAAUCAAAUGCAUACGCUUUGCAUGGUGCUCUCCAAUUUGAGCAUUCAAAAUAAGAGUAAUUCUCCAAUUUGAGCAUUCAAUAAGCAAAACUAAAUCAUAAAAUAAAUUAGUAUUCAAAUUAGCAUGCAUUCAAUAAGCAAAACUAAAUCAUAAAAUAAAUUAGUAUUCAAAUUAACAUGCAUUCAAUAAGCAAAACUAAAUCAUCUCUUGCGUCCGUACAUCAUCGAAUACUAUCACUAAUACAUCUCGAAUAGUAUCAUACAUAUAACCUCAUUAAUACAGCUACAACCCUAGCGAACAACGGGUAUCAGCGCUAGUGAUGGACACCCAAAGAGAAGGAACCAUCACAGGAUCAUAGCUCCAGUGAUCUCCCUGAAGAACCUGCCAGGUAUUGUCGAACCUGCCCUCCAACGCAACCAUGUAGCGAUGGACAUGCUCGUCCUCCUCGCUGACACGGUGACGUAUCACCUCCGCAGGGGACGCAAGCCUCCGCAUCGUCAGUGGCCCAUAUGACCGGCAGCAAAGAAGGUUCGGGUCAACGACGGGCUGGUUCCUCACCAAGCUGCGCCCCCCCAGAAGGUAGCACCUCCCAGUACUAGCCCGGUGGAGCCUAGUCCCGGACAUUGACCCUCUGAUCAAGCAAACCUCCUCCGCCGAGUCGACGACGAGGAUGCGGGAUAGGCAUCGUCGACGUUGAUGCGGGAAUAAAUGCUUUAACUAAAAAAAUAACAACAAAUGAGACAUGUUCAAAAUAUGACAUGUCCACUUUAAAACAAAUCAACCUAGAAUUAUGUUAAAUACACCUAAAAAUAAACUGGUUCUAUUAAUUUUCUUACUAAAAAUAAACUAGUUCUAUUAAUUCAACUAGUUCAACUAAGCACUUACUAUAAAUAAAAAUAAACUGGUUCUUACUGUAGGAUAGAGUAUAAUUAGUAGUAGGGUGGCCCAGACAAAAAGCGCUACUACUAGGGUUGCAGACAAGCGCUACUACUAUACCUAUCCUACAGGCAACGUUGUGGCAGUUAUAGUAGUAGCGCUUUUUUGUCUGGGCCACGCUACUACUAAUUAUAUAGUAGUAGCGAGCUUCUGUACACGACGCUACUGGUAUAUAGCAGUAGCGCAUAUUUUUGACCAACGCUACUGGUAAGCUUCUGUGUAUAAGCUUUUCCCUAGUAGUGGAUGACGGCCACCGGUGUCGGAUCUGCCAGCGGAGGCGUGCUAGGACAUUAUUGUACUGGGCGCUGAAUCACCAAAACGUGGUCAUACCAAACACAUGAACAACUACCGAUCCAGAACAGGAAUCACAUACUUGGAGAAUAGCUCUCGUGGAGGCGCCCACCGCGAGCACCCCCCACAUUCGCAACGCUGUCGACCUUGUCGCGCUCCUACCAUUAUCGAUGCCAACCAAGGGAAGAAGUUCUUCCCGACCCGACGUGCGGGGGCGACGGGGACGCGCCCAUGAGAGUGGACGUAGGCGAUGGACGGCAACGCAUCGCACUGCAGUGCGACGAGAAGGAAGGAAAGGCAACCGUGUGAGAGCGGUAUCGCCGGCUGGCGGUGCUGGGUUGGGGAUGUGGCUCGGCUAGUGAUGGGGGAUGCGCCACGAUGGGAAUAGCAGCCUGGGGACGGGAGGCGGAUAGAAAGAAGGGGGUGCGAGGGCGUGAGGUCGGAUUGGAUUGGAUGAGCUCGCGUGUUGGGAUGCCCGAGUUUGUGGGUUCGUGGGUCAUAAUCGAAGGAAGUUUUGUGGGUCUUUCGUCGCUGUUUUUUUCCUUGGGGCAUCGUACGAGGGGAGACAGCGAUAGUAGGAGGAGGUCGAACCAUCACGAUGUUCGACCCCCCUUUAAUAGUAAAGAAGAUAUAAGAUCUUUUAAAUAUAUAAUCAGUUGGGCAAAACCAUAUAUGUAUAGGGUCCACUAGUCAUUCCUUUUCCAUUCGCCAAAUCCAAUCUGAUCGAAACAAUCGGAUGCCACUAUUGGGAAACGUUGCAUGAAAAACAAAAAAAAAUCUACGCGGACACAAGAUCUAUCCAUGGAGAUGCAUAGCAACGAGAGGGGAGAGUAUGUCUACGUACCCUCAUAGACCGUAAGCGGAGGCGUUUAUUAACACGGUUGAUGUAGUCGGACUUCUUCUCGAUCCAACCGAUCAAGUAUCGAACGUACGACACCUCCACGUUCAGCACAUUUCAGCUCGGUAACGUCCUCACGUUCUUGAUCCAGCAAGACGGGCAAAAUAGUGGAUGAGUUCCGGCAGCACGACGGCAUGGUGACGGUGGUGCUGAUGCUAUCUCCGCAGGGCGCGCCUAAGCACUACGAAAAUAUGAACGAGGGACGAAACUGUGGAGAGGGGCGCCGCACACAGAUAAGAGAUUCCCGUGGGUGUUGUGUGGCACCCCCUCCUAUGUAUAUAUAGGUGGGGGGAGAGGGGAGGCAGCUUGGAGGCGCCUAAAGGGUGGCCGAAUCCCCCUUGGGCUCCUGCCUUUGGCCGCCCCCCUUUCCUUGUUUGUGCGCGGGAGGACGACGCACUACAAGAAAUAUGUCAACUAGUGACCUUCUGUCAGUGACCCUGGAAUAAUUGGUCAUAUAUCUAUGACCAUUUCAGACCAAUUGGUCAAAAGCUGUUCGAGGGGCUCCAAACCCUAAACCAUUGCGACCAUUUUGGUCAGAAAGGUCGUAAUUUCCUUACACGAAAAGGUCAUAAAGCAAACAUCGCUAGUCCGCCGCCUUAUUUCUAGUUGUUAACGACAAAUAUAGAUGGUCAUAGCCUUGUAAAUUGUGGUGGAUUGAUAUGACUAGGCGCCACCUCAUCAGUUUUGCCUAUGUGUCAUGUCCAUGUGGUAGUUUUUGCCCUAGGUUGUGAAGCAACCUAUAUUUCUGUCAUUCCCAAAAAUUUCCAAAAAAAUCUCAUAAAUUCUUUGGGUCAUAUCUUCGUCAAAUAUGUAAAAACAUUCCUUGCCUAGUUCAAAAAUAAUUCGAAAAUAUUCAUUUUCCUAUUCUGUUCAGAGCAGCACUUUGUGAAGGAAGUACCACUUUGGCAUGUACAAAUGGUAUCCAUUUUCUACAGUGCUUUGUUAUGCCCAAAUAACCAUUCUCCACCAAAUGCCAGCUCAAUCCAUUCAUUAUUUUGAGCCCAGCUUCAACAUUCGUAUUUAUGUCCAGUGUGGUAGUUUGUAAAGCAAGUACCACCUAGGCUCCUCUUUUUAAGGUGAAAAUUUGUGAAGACGGUCUUCUUAGUAACUGAUCAUCCUCAGCCAAAACUCACGCCCAUUAGCCAUGUGCAUUUCCCGUACCGCAAAUCAAACACUUGGCUGCUUAUUCAUGUUUGAGCAUCGAUCGGUCUCCUCGUGAGAAUCUUAUGUUGUGAUUUUCUUCCUAGCACCUACCUGGGGAGUGCCCAACCCACUAGACAUUCCUAGGCCGCCCAGAACACAUGGCAACGCCACGGUCACGCGGUGACCACGCGGCGGGCAUGCGAGCUUACGCGCUCUAGAGUUGGGGCCCUCGGCCACCGUCCAAACCUUGAUGUCUCGCCAUCAAACCAUGUAUUUCUGAUUAAAUAGAUACUUAUUUACCUAGAAAUGAUUUUUGGAAAAAAAUAAAGAGCAAACUAUGAGGCAGCUGCAGUUCAAAUUUGACCCGCUUCCAACUGAAUCGACGGCAAUUUGUCUUUUUCACCAGAGGUAGAUCAAAAAUUUUGACACCCAACCAUUUUGUCAAUUGUGCAUUAUAUAUGGCCUAGUAUUUUAUAAAAUUGAUUUGGUCCAUUUUUGCAACAAUUAUUUGGUAGUUCCUUCACAAAAAAACCUCCUUUUGGGCACUCGGAAAAUGAAAAAUGAAUUUUCCGUGCAAAAAAAAAUGAAAACUUCCUUAGGCAACAUUGUUUGGAAUUCCAGGAUGUACCCUUGUGCACAAUAUGAGAUCAUUUGAAUAAACUAUGCCAUGAAUGUGGCCAUAAGAUUGAUCAUUUGGCUUGAAAGCCAUGAAUCUUCACGCAUGAUAGCUCAUUUCUGAGAACACUUUUUCAAAAUAAUUACCGUAUUACAAGUUUAUUAUUUUUUCUAGAAACUUUGUCACAUAUAAUGACACAAUGCGAAGGUUUUCCAAUUUUUUGAUUUUUUUUUUAAAUUUUUAUGCCCGUUUCAAAAUGCGGUGAAAACGGCGGGCUUGACCGUUCCUACCUAGUGGUUGAAUCUUGGAAAUUUUUUGAUGUUUCUCUGAUUAAAUAGAUACUUAUGUACCUAUAUAUGAUUUUUGGAAAAAAUAAAUAGCAAGCUAUGAGGCAGCUGCAGUUCAAAUUUGACCCGCUUCCAACUGAAUCGGCGGGAAUUUGUCUUUUUCACCAGAGGUGGAUCAAAACUUUUUACACCCAACCAUUUGGUCAAUUCUGCAUUAAAUAUGGCCUAGUAUUUUAGAAAAACUAUUUGGUCCAAUUUUUUGACAAUUAUAUGGUAGGUCCUUCACAAAAAAACCUCAUUUGGGGCACUCGAAAAAUGGAAAAUGAAUUUUACGUGCAAAGAAAAUGAAAACUUCCUUAGGCAACAUUGUUUGGAAUUCCAAGAUGCACCCUUGUGCACAAUAUGAGAUCAUUUGAACAAACUAUGCCAUGAAUGUGGCCAUAAGAUUGAUCAUUUGGCUUGAAAGCCAUGAAUCUUCACGCAUGAUAGCUCAUUUCUGAGAACAUCUUUUUAAAAUCAUUUCCGUAUUACAAGUUUAUUAUUUUUCCUGGAAACUUGGUCACAUAUAAUGACACAAUGCGAAGGUUUUCCAAUUUUUAGAUUUUUUUUGAAUUUUUUAUGCCCAUUUCAAAAUGCGGUCAAAACGGCGGGCUUGACCGUUCCUACCUAGUGGUUGAAUCUUGGAAAUUUUUUGAUGUUUAUCUGAUUAAAUAGAUACUUAUGUACCUAGAAAUGAUUUUUGGAAAAAAUAAAUAGCAAGCUAUGAGGCAGCUGCAGUUCAAAUUUGACCCGCUUCCACCUAAAUCGGCGGGAAUUCGUCUUUUUCACCAGAGGUGGAUCAAAACUUUUUACACCCAACCAUUUGGUCAAUUGUGCAUUAAAUAUGCCCUAGUAUUUUAGAAAAAAUAUUUGGUCCAAUUUUUUGACAAUUAUAUGGUAGGUCCUUCACAAAAAAACCUCAUUUGGGGCACUCGAAAAAUGGAAAAUGAAUUUUUCGUGCAAAGAAAAUGAAAACUUCCUUAGGAAACAUUGUUUGGAAUUCCAAGAUGCACCCUUGUGCACAAUAUGAGAUCAUUUGAACAAACUAUGCCAUAAAUGUGGCCAUAAGAUUGAUCAUUUGGCUUGAAAGCCAUGAAUCUUCACACAUGAUAGCUCAUUUCUGAGAACACUUUUUUAAAAUUAUUUCCGUAUUACAAGUUUAUUAUUUUUCCUAGAAACUUGGUCACAUAUAAUGACACAAUGCGAAGGUUUUUCAAUUUUUAGAUUUUUUUUUUAAUUUUUUAUGCCCGUUUCAAAAUGCGGUCAAAACGGCGGGCUUGACCGUUCCUACCUAGUGGUUGAAUCUUGGAAAUUUUUUGAUGUUUCUCUGAUUAAAUAGAUACCUAUGUACCUAGAAAUGAUUUUUGGAAAAAAUAAAUAGCAAAUUAUGAGGCAGUUGCAGUUCAAAUUUGACCCGUUUCGAGCUGAAUCGGCGGGAAUUUGUCUUUUUCACCAGAGGUGGAUCAAAACUUUUUACACCCAACUAUUUGGUCAAUUGUGCAUUAAAUAUGGCCUAGUAUUUUAGAAAAAUUAUUUGGUCCAAUUUUUUGACAAUUAUAUGGUAGGUCCUUCACAAAAAAACCUCAUUUGGGGCACUCGAAAAAUGGAAAAUGAAUUUUCCGUGCAAAGAAAAUGAAAACUUCCUUAGGCAACAUUGUUUGGAAUUCCAAGAUGCACCCUUGUGCACAAUAUGAGAUCAUUUGAACAAUCAAGAUGGGGAAGAAAGUAUAACGUGGGGGGUGAAUCAAAUGGUUACACACGAAAACAUCGUAGGGUUGCGAGGCGACCGACCCAAAUUUAGGUCGAUUGACCGGCACCUAACAGCCGCCUUUUGGAAAAUGGUAUGGUCCAAUAUUGCAACACAUAUUUGUAGGCAUUUAAAAAAAUCAGAGAUUUGGGUCCAAAAUUUAGAUUUUCGAGCGUGAGCCAGCCAGCCAAUGAGAAGCGAGGAACCACCUCCACGCGGAUCACCAAGUUGGACACGAUCCGAGCCAUCCAUCACGCGCCCAUCCAAAGGUUGAUCUUCUCCUGAAAAAACCAAAACCCUAACCCACCGACCCACCCACCCUUUCUCCAGAUCCAAUCCAUCCCCACCCUCCUCUCCCUCGUCUCCUCUCCGCCUUCGUCUCCCUCAUCUCCCACCGCCGCCAUCCCCACCCACCACCGCCGCCAUCCCCACCACCGCAGCCCCCACCAACCGCCAACCCCCUCCCUCGCCUUCAUCCCCCNNNNNNNNNNNNNNNNNNNNNNNNNNNNNNNNNNNNNNNNNNNNNNNNNNNNNNNNNNNNNNNNNNNNNNNNNNNNNNNNNNNNNNNNNNNNNNNNNNNNNNNNNNNNNNNNNNNNNNNNNNNNNNNNNNNNNNNNNNNNNNNNNNNNNNNNNNNNNNNNNNNNNNNNNNNNNNNNNNNNNNNNNNNNNNNNNNNNNNNNNNNNNNNNNNNNNNNNNNNNNNNNNNNNNNNNNNNNNNNNNNNNNNNNNNNNNNNNNNNNNNNNNNNNNNNNNNNNNNNNNNNNNNNNNNNNNNNNNNNNNNNNNNNNNNNNNNNNNNNNNNNNNNNNNNNNNNNNNNNNNNNNNNNNNNNNNNNNNNNNNNNNNNNNNNNNNNNNNNNNNNNNNNNNNNNNNNNNNNNNNNNCUUCCCUUCUAGGGUUAGGAUUUCCACCUAACCGUCCCCACGAUCUGGAUCCCCAUGAACCAGUCGCCGGCGCCACCUCCACCCCCUCCCCUGCCCUCCGAACACUGUCGCCGGCCAGAUCCACCGGAGCCCCCUCCCCGCCGCUUCCUCCUCCCGAUCCCACCCCCGUCCUCCACCUGCUCCGCGUGCCCAAACCCGUCGUCUCCGAUCCCGCCCCUCAGAUCCACCCCGCGCCCGCAUCCGACCUACUCUAGCUUGCUCGCUCUGCCAGAGAGGAGGGGCGCCGGAGCAGCGGGCGUUGGCGGAGAUGGAGAGCAAGCGGGUGCUGGUGGUGGGCGGGAGCGGCUACUGUCGUGGUUCUAAGUCUGACAGUAGAGUGGGGGUAGGUAUGGAGAGGCAAGUUCCUAGCUAUGGAGAGGUUGUAAACACAAGUGAUGUACGAGUUCAGGCCCUUCUCAGAGGAAGUAACAGCCCUACGUCUCGGAGCCCGGAGGCGGUCGAGUGGAUUAUGUGUGCAUGGAUUACAAGAGUGCGAACCCUUUACACUGAGGUGGGGGUGGCUUAUAUAGUGCCCGCCAGACCCCUCCGGCCCUCAGUAAUGCGGGGUUUAAAGUACAUUAAGUCUGGGCGUUACUGGUAACGCCCCACAUAAAGUGUCUUAAAUACCAUAAAGUCUACUUAACUAGAGACCGUUGCGGUACAGAGUGCUUCUUGACCUUCUGGUGGUCGAGUGAGUCUUCAUGGUCGAGUCCUUCAAGUCUGUCGAGUGAAGUCCUCCUUGGUCGACUGGAAGGUAGUCUCUUCGAAGGGUGUCCUUGGGUAGGGUACUUAGAUCAGGUCUAUGACCCUACCCUAGGUACAUGACUCCAUCAUUAUCCCCCGAAUGGAUUGAGGCUUGAGUGAGGAAGGGUUGAUAUUAUUUCCGACUGGCUUUUGCGUUCUGAACAUGUGUUGUCUUGGACCAAUAAUCUCUUUGUUGAUAAACAGCAACUUUUCUUCAGUCGGCUUGAUCCAUUCUUUUCUUGCGUCGAGUGACUUUUUGAACUUAACAAUUCCCGAGGGACGGAUCGCGGGAGAUCUCACGCCUGACAGACCGAUGUGCCGUUCGCGGAUUUUGUGGAUACGAAAUUUGGGGAAGCGCGUGAAGCGGGGCGGACCGCGGCGCUCGGAUGGGAUAGGGCAUAAACGCCUCGAUUCUCGCGCCACCUUUUUCGCCACGUAUCGCGUCCACGCGACUGUUUCGGGAUGUGAUUGGAUCGCCCGGGCCCGCCUAUCAUCCACUCGAAAGUGAUCUUAUAAAGGCGCCCAGCGAGGGUCUUUGAGCAGUAUCUCUGCAUUCUCUCUCUCUCUGCUCUCCUUGCUUCCGCCCACCGCGCCCGCUCUCGCCUCCUCACAACCGCUCCUCGCGCGCCUCGCCGGCAGCCAUGGUGAAGGAGAAGACGGCGGCGCUGGAACGCGCGAAGAUGGUGUCGGCGACGGGGAAGGCGAAAGGGAGAACCACCAGCCGCGGCGGGUCUUCGUCUAGAUCUCGUCUGCGGAACGGCUGGGUCCAAGGAGAUUGGAUCCGGUCGACCAUCACGGAGAAGGAUCUCCUCGACAUGGCCAACGACGGGCUGAUCCCCCACGGAGCAGCAAGGCUCCCGGGGAACGAGUGGCAACCCCAGCCGGAAGAGGGUGAGUGUGUCCUUCUGGCUACCCACGUCGACCGCGGGUUUUCUUUGCCGCAGAGUAUUUUCUUCCGUGGUUUCUUGAACUUCUUUGGAGCGCAACUCCACCACUUCACUCCGAACUCUAUCGCCUACCUUGCCGCAUUCGUGUCCAUGUGUGAGAACUUUCUGGGUUGCCGACCGCAUUGGGGCCUGUUCAAGCACAUAUUCACGUGUCGCUCUUAGACCGUGAAGAAGGCGAGCCCAGAUGACGACAAAACCAAAGUUAUCCAGAUGUGUGGAGGCCUGGGGAUCCAGAUGAGGAACAAGAGCACCUUCCCAGCCAUGACGUUCCUCGAGUCGGUCAGAGGCUGGCAGUCGACCUGGUUCUACUACCAGAAUGAGUCGACGCCGGGGCAGUCGAGUGGACUCCCUCAGUUUACCAUGGACCGAGCCAACAAACCCUCCUCUUUGAAGGUGAUUCCGAAGGAGAAAGCCGACGUGAAGAUGCUGAUGGAGCGCGUAGUCCAGUUGGUUCAGGAGGGGGUGACGGGUAUGGAUCUCCUGGAGGUUUUUCUUAGGCGGCGUAUCCAGCCUCUUCAGUUCCGGAGCCAUUGCAUGUGGUUGUACCGCGGGACCGAAGAUGAGACUCGGAUCAAUCCAGAAGCAGUCGACGAUGCCACGCUGGAAAGGUGGAUGGCCGCGGUCACUGGGAACAAGGAUAACCCUCAUGGAGCCAGGAGGAUUCCUCCACUCGACCAUCGCAGCAUUCCAGACAAAGUAUGCCCACUCUACCUCCAAUUGUAUUCUUGCUAUACUUACUUCCGUUUUCUCCGCAAAUUGGUCGAUUGAUCUUUGUCUUGAUGUCUAACAAGCCCUCACCGAACUGUACUCGAUGCCCAAUGGAGCACAGACUCGGACUGAAGAGGGAGAAGCGAGCGGGGGCGAGAGCCAGGAGGAGUGGGACUCGGAUGCUGCUGAAGAUGAUGAUGAUGAUGAUGACGAUGAGGAGGAAGAAGAAGAGGAGGAGGAGGAGGUCGCACCACCGCGCUUGGAAAGGCGUUCGAAGCUUGCCCAUGACCCUACGACUGAACGUGGUAAGGGGGUUGCGAUUGUCGCGCAGUCGACCAAGCGCCCUCGGACCACUUCUCCGGUGUCGACUGAAAAGGCUCCGAAACAGUCUAGGGUGGCACCGUCGAAGCCGACCAAGGUCCUGCCGAAGAUGAAGGUGUCCAUCCCCACCAUAUCAGGGUAAAUGUGCUGCUUGAGUCUUCUUGUUUUGUGCGAGCUUUAUCUUUGAUUGACACUUGAGUUAGCCGACUAAUUUUUUGGAAUUGCAGUGCUGCUACUUCCGAUACCUCAGCCAGGGUUGACGAUCAUGAGAUGAAGGAUGCCGCAACCUCAAAACCUGGUACCACUCUCUCAAUUCCGGUUUUAGUCGACUGACUCUUCGUCUCUAACUCUGAUACUUUUCUGCAGUCUCAUCCAAUGUCGUUAUCACUCUUCCUGACGACGACGACGACGAGGAACCGCUGAAGCACAGGAGGAGCAGGAAAGCGCCUGCCGGCAGGGCGACCCAGGAUGUGGUGGCACCCGAGACUCUGGUCGCGGGUGAGGAGGAAACCACUCGGCACACCGUGUCUUUCGCGGUGCCACUGACGAGUGCUCACCCCGCUUCGUCGAGUGCUGCACAGCCUUCCCUCUUCACGACGCACCACGUCCCAGAGGACCAAGCCAGUGCUGCAAAGGAAGCGAUACGCCAGGCGGGGAUCAUGAUGGAGCAGGUGAAGGCCAUCCGGGAGGCAAGCCAGGCAGCCUACGACGCCAGUUCUGCUCUUCAAAGCAAUGUUCAGGUCAAUCGGAUCGCCUGUUCUGUUAGGAUAUGCUAUCAAAAGCUUUUCUUUCUGGAAUCCAUAGCAAUCACCCAUUGGGUGUGUCGAUUGAAACUCCGGUUUAGCGGGGGCACGCUGAGUGCACCCGCUGGGUGUAGUCCCCAAGGCUAUGGUUGACUGCUGGCAGUCGACCAUAGGCUUUAGAAGUUAAAUUCUUCCAUCAGUCGACUAGGUCGAAAGGAUUUCUCAAACCGGUGGGGUACGCUGAGUGCACCCACUGGGUGUAGUCCCCGAGACUGUGGUCGACUGCUGGCAGUCGAUUACAGUCUGAAGAAUACGUCUUGUUUUUUUUUGGUCGGCUGGUCGACUCUUAUCUUAAUAGAACUAGUUGGGGCACGCUGAGUGCACCCACUGGGUAUAGUCCCCGAGACUACGGUCGAAUGUUUGUAUUCAGCUGUAGUCUUAGAAACGCAUGAUUUUCGCUUAUCCACUCGGAAGCGAAUUAUCUUUGACAUUUUGUCGAUUGGUUCUUCGCAGAAAUCCUGCGACCUUGCGGCUCGUUAUACCGAGCUGGAGAACAAGCACCUUCAGCUCGAGCUGGAUCUGAAGCUGGUCCAGGAGAAUCUGACGAAGGCGACGGAGGAGACCAAAGGUAUGUUCGGUGAGACCUUGACGACUGCUUUUGUCCUUCAUCUGUUUCAAAAUCUGACCUUCAUCUGCUUUACAGGCAAGGUGAAGGAGGCCCAGAAGAACAAAGAUCUUGAAUUAGCUGAGAAGACCAAAAUUGCUGACGAGAAGUUAGCUUCGGUCACGAAGCUCGAAGAAGAAAAUACUAAUCUGAAAGCUGCUCUUGAGAUUGCCAACAAGGAGGUUAGUCGACUGAAGAACGACAAAGCUGCUCUGAAUGACAAGGCCAGUCAAUUAGCUGGGAAGAAGAAUGAUCUGGAGGCCUUUCUGAGUGGACUUGCCAAGAAGUUGUUCCUUAUGCUUGAAGGUAAUCCUUUGCGUUCCACAAUCAUUUUGAACAGUGAUCUUUCCAUUCGACCAUUACCUUGACUUAGUGAUCGUACUUGCAGAGUUUUGCCAAAACUUUGAGGAGGAAACUAGUCGGCUAGAACCAAACCUCGACCCCGUCAACUCUCCGGUGAACGAUGAACUUGCCAUGAAUGUGUUCCGACUUGAGUCCCGCAUUGCUGCUGUUGUUGACUAUCUUGCAAGGCUGAAAGUCGCCACUUCCCGCAUUGACACCACGCUCUGGCCCAGGGAGACACUCCAGAACGACCUCGAGUCUCUGAAGGCUCGACUAAACACGGUUCCUGGUCGAGUGCAGGAGUGGAAAAAAUCCUCUGCUAUGUGCGGUGCAGAUGUUGCUCUGUGUCUGGCUCGAGUCCACUGCAAGGAUGCACGAGAAGACAAGCUGGCGGCUCUUCGGGUGGCCAACACCAAGAAACAUGACUUCAGGUCCUUCAUCGAAACCUUCAUCGCUGCUGCCACUCGUAUCGCGGACGGAAUUGAUCUUGAUGAGUUUGUUGCACCUUCCAGCCCUCCACAGGAGGGGUAAAAAACUUCUUUGAGCUCGACACUUUAAAUUUGCCUCGGUAUGCCGAGUGAUUUUGUAACCGAUAAACCUUAACAGGCUUAGCGCCUGAGCACUUUCAGUUCCUUUAGGUAUCGAUCUGAACUUGGAUUUGAUGUUUGAAUAUGCUUGCUUUUGGCUCGAAAUGUCUUUUGCAGGUUUAAAGCAAGACGCCCACUGCAGUGGACUUAUUCUUUUCAAUUCACUUAGGCGAGCACUGGGCUGCGACUAAGCCCCCGAGUGAGAGGUUUGCUCUUCACUCGGUAGGAUUUUUAUAUCUUAGGCGAGCGCUGGGCUGCAGCUAAGCCCCCGAGUGGGGGGUCUGCUCCUCACUCGGCAGGAUUUUUAUAUCUUAGGCGAGAGCUAAGCCCCCGAGUGGGAGUUCUGCUCCUUGCUCAGCAGGAUUUUUAUAUCUUAGGCGAGCGCUGGGCUGCAGCUAAGCCCCCGAGUGGGAGGUCUGCUCCUCACUCGGCAGGAUUUUUAUAACUUAGGCGAGCGCUGGGCUGCAGCUAAGCCCCCGAGUGGGAGGUCUGCUCCUCACUCGGCAGGAUUUUUAUAUCUUAGGCGAGCGCUGGGCUGCAGCUAAGCCCUCGAGUGAGAGGUUUGCUCUUCACUCGGUAGGAUUUUUAUAUCUUAGGCGAGCACUGGGCUGUAACUAAGCCCCCGAGUGGGAGGUCUGCUCUUCACUCAGUAGGAUUUUCAUGUUGUACUUGUGGCGUAGCUCAGAGGAGAGGGACACAGUCGACCUGCACCUCGUCCUCCUUACGACCGUACGUUGUAUUUGUGGCGUAGCUCAGAGGAGAUGGUCGCAGUCGACCUGCACCUCAUCCUCCUUAUGACCGUAUGUUGUAUUUGUGGCGUAGCUCAGAGGAGAGGGUCGCAGUCGACCUGCACCUCGUCCUCCUUACGACCGUACAUUGUAUUUGUGGCGUAGCUCAGAGGAGAGGGUCGCAGUCGACCUGCACUUCGUCCUCCUUACGACCGCACAUUGUACUUGUGGCGUAGCUCAGAGGAGAGGAUCACAGUCGACCUGCGUCUCGUCCUCCUUGCGAGCGCACGUUGUAUUUGUACUUAGGCGAGUGCUCGGACUGCAACUAAGCCCCCGAGUGAAAGUCUGGCUUAUCACUCGGUAGGAUUUUGUUCACACUUAGGCAAGCACUGGGCUGCAGCUAAGCCCCCGAGUGAAAGUCUGGCUUAUCACUCGGUAGGAUUUUGUUCACACUUAGGCGAGCACUGGGCUGCAGCUAAGCCCCCGAGCGGAAGUCUGGCUUACCACUCGGUAGGAUUUUAUUGAAACUUAGGCGAGUACUUGGACUGCAGCUAAGCCUCCGAGUGAAAGUCUGGCUUAUCACUCGGUAGGAUUUUAUUGAAACUUAGGCGAAACGGAUUCGCAGCUAAGCCCUCGAGUGGGAGGUUGGCUCACCACUCGGUAAGGAUUUUGUUUUUACAAACUUAGGCUAAACGGAUUCGCGGCUAAGUCACCCACUGGGUGGGAAAUUUUUACUGAACAAAUAAAAGUGACAAAAAUUGUUAGGGAAAUUAUGACACUAUUAUCUUGCAAAACAUGGACUACAGAAGUACUUUUAUUACAACUCAUCCAAGUGAUAAACUUAAGUGUAAAAUGGGCGGAGUAGUUCCGCGUUCCAAGCUCGGGCCUCGUCGAUAUUGUGUUUGACAUUGUAGAGACGGUACGCCCCGUUGUGGAGGACUUUGGUGACGAUGAAGGGUCCUUCCCAAGAAGGAGCAAGCUUGUGUUGUUUCUGCUGAUCCACUCGGAGAACCAAAUCUCCUUCCUGGAAGGCUCGACUCUUCACGUUUCUGGCAUGGAAGCGACGCAAGUCUUGUUGGUAGAUGGUCGAUCGGAUCAUAGCCAUCUCCCUUUCUUCCUCCAAAAGGUCGACUGCGUCCUGCCGCGCUUGUUCAGCUUCUGCUUCGUUGUAGAGUUCAACUCGAGGAGCAUUGUGAAGAAGAUCACUCGGCAAGACUGCUUCAGCUCCGUAGACCAAGAAGAAUGGAGUUCUUCCGGUCGACCGAUUAGGCGUGGUCCGCAGUCUCCAAAGCACUGAGGGAAGUUCGUCGACCCAUGCUCCAGCCGCAUGUUUUAGAUCACGCAUCAGUCGGGGUUUCAACUCUUUGAGGAUUAGGCCAUUGGCUCGCUCUGCUUGUCCAUUCGACUGCGGAUGGGCGACUGACGCGUAGUCGACUCGUGUGCCUUGAGAGUUGCAGAAAUCCCUGAAUUCCUCUGAGUCAAAGUUCGACCCAUUAUCCGUAAUGAUGCUGUGCGGGACUCCAUAUCUGAAUAUCAGUUCCCUGAUGAAGCUAACAGCAGUACCAGCGUCAAGGUUCUUGAUGGGUUUAGCCUCAAUCCACUUGGUGAACUUGUCGACUGCCACCAGUACAUGCGUGAAACCACUUCGACCUGUUCUCAAGGGGCCAACCAUACCCAACCCCCAUACUGCGAAGGGCCAGACGAGUGGAAUGGUCUUGAGAGCUGAUGCAGGCUUGUGUGACAUAUUUGAGUAGAACUGACAUCCUUCACACUUGUCCACUAUUUCCUUUGCCAUCUCAUUCGCCUUUGGCCAGUAAAAUCCGGCUCGGUAUGCUUUGGCCACGAUGGUCCAAGAGGACGCAUGAUGACCAUAGGUCCCCGAGUGGAUAUCAUCAAGGAUGAUUCGACCUUCUUCCGGUGUUAUGCACUUCUGACCAACUCCAGUCGCGCUCUCUCUAUACAAUUGUCCUUUGAUUACGGUAAAGGCCUUGGAUCGACGGACGAUCUGUCGAGCCUCUUCCUCAUCCUCCGGGAGCUCUUUUCUCAGGAUAUACGCGAUAUAUGGCACUGUCCAGUCAGGAGUGACUACCAAGACCUCCAUAACCAAGUCGACCACUGCUGGGACCUCUACUUCAGUCGGAUCUGUGGCGCUUUUAGGCUGCGGGGCUUCUUCAGUAAAAGGAUCUUCUUUAACUGAUGGAGUAUGUAUAUGCUCCAAGAACACACCACUCGGAAUGGCUUCUCUCUUGGAACCUAUCUUUGCCAGAUCGUCAGCUGCUUGAUUUUUCAGUCGGGGUAUAUGAUGGAGCUCUAACCCCUCAAACUUCUUUUCCAGCUUCCUCACUGCAUUGCAGUAUCCAGUCAUGGCUGGGCUUCUCACGUCCCACUCCUUCAUCACUUGGUUGACCACUAAAUCCGAGUCGCCAUAGACCAUAAGGUGACGGACGCCGAGUGAAAUGGCCAUGCGCAACCCAUACAAAAGGGCCUCGUACUCUGCCUCAUUGUUGGAGGAGUCAAAGUGAAUCUGGAGCACAUAUCUGAGCUUAUCUCCUCUGGGGGAAACCAGGACAACCCCAGCACCGGAACCAUUCAACAUCUUAGAGCCAUCAAAGAACAUGGUCCAAUGCUCCGAGUGAACUUCAGUCGGCUGCUGCUGUUCAAUCCACUCGGCGAGGAAAUCUGCUAUUGCCUGGGACUUAAUGGCUUUCUUUGCCUCAAACUUGAUAUCAAGGGGAAGAAGUUCAAUCUCUCAUUUCGCCACUCGACCAGUUGCAUCUCUGUUGUGCAGAAUCUCUGAAAGUGGAGCGUCGCUGACGACUGUGAUGGAAUGAUCAGAGAAAUAAUGAGCAACCUUCUUCGUGGUCAUGUAUAUCCCAUACACAAGCUUCUGAUAAUGAGGGUAUCUCUGCUUGGAUGGAGUUAAAACUUCAGAUAGAUAGUACACUGGGCGCUGAACUUUGAAGGCUUUCCCUUCUUCUUCCCGCUCGACCGUAAGUACUGUACUGACGACUUGUCCUGUGGCUGCAAUAUAAAGCAACAGAGGCUCUUUGUUGAUUGGAGCAACAAGCACCGGCUGGGUGGAGAGCAGAGCUUUUAGCUCGGCAAACGCUGCAUCAGCUUCUGGAGUCCACUCGAACUCGUCUACCUUCUUCAUCAGUCGGUAAAGAGGCAAUGCCUUUUCACCGAGUCGUGAGAUGAAUCGACUUAAUGCGGCCAAGCAUCCAGUAAGUUUCUGGACAUCGUGCACUCGCACGGGGCGUUUCAUUCAGAGUAUAGUGCCGAUCUUUUCUGGAUUAGCGUCGAUCCCUCGUUCGGAAACGAGAAAACCGAGUAACUUGCCACCAGGAACUCCGAAUGUGCACUUUGAUGGAUUGAGAUUGAUAUCAUACCUUCUGAGGUUGGGAAAUUUUUCAGCGAGGUCAGUGAGCAGGUCGGAACCUUUCCGCGAUUUGACCACGAUAUCAUCCAUAUACGCUUCCACAUUCCGACUGAUUUGAGUGAGCAGACACUUCUGAAUCAUUCGCAUAAAUGUGGCUCCGGCAUUCUUGAGGCCGAAUGGCAUGGUGAUAUAGCAGAAGCACCCUAAUGGAGUGAUGAAAGCUGUUUUUAUCUCAUCAGGCCCGUACAGACGGAUCUGAUGGUACCCGGAAGGCGUCUAGAAAAGACAAUCUCUCGCAUCCCGCGGUCGAGUCAACAAUUUGAUCAAUGCGAGGGAGAGGAAAAUGAUCUUUCGGGCAGGCCCGAUUGAUGUGCUUGAAAUCAAUGCACAUUCAGAGUGAAUUGUCCUUCUUAGGAACCAUGAAAACAUUAGCGAGCCACUCAGAGUGGUAUAUUUCUCGGAUAAAUCCUGCUGCCAACAGUCGAGCCACUUCCUCCCCAAUAGCCUUUCUCUUCUGGACGGCGGACCAUCGAAGAUGCUCUUUGACUGGUUUAGCUAAUGAGUCGACUCUAAGACGAUGCUCAGCCAGUCCCCUAGGAACACCUGGCAUGUCAGCUGGCUUCCAUGCAAAAAUGUCCCAGUUCUCACGGAGGAACUGGAUGAGCGCUUCUUCCUAUUUCGGGUCAAGUGUUGUGGAGAUGUGGGUCGGGGCUGCAUUGGGGUCGGUCGGGUGAAUGUGGACAGGCUUCGUCUCACCGGACGACUGAAAUGCAGAUUCUGUGGCGGGCUUCUUGGCUCGCAGCAAAUCACUCGGAUCUACGUUUUGCUUAUACUCUUCAAACUCGACCGCUGUCACCUGGGAAUCGGCAAUCUUUGAGCCUUUCUGGAAACACUCUUCUGCCUUCUUCCGAUCGCCAGUGACAGUGAUCACUCCUUUGGGGCCGGGCAUCUUCAGCUUGAGGUAGACAUAGCAUGGUCGAGCCAUGAACCGUGCGUAAGCUGGUCUCCCCAAAAUAGCGUGGUACGCGCUCUGAAAAUCCACGACCUCAAACGUCAGCUUUUCCUUGCGAAAAUGUUUUGAAUCACCAAACACCACGUCUAGAGCUAUUUGGCCGAGUGAUUCGGCUUUCUUCCCUGGUAUAACUCCAUGAAAGCUCAUGUUACUGGUGCUCAGUCGGGACAUCGGAAUGCCCAUUCCCUUCAGUGUGUCAGCAUACAACAAGUUCAGCCUGCUACCACCGUCCAUCAACACCUUCGUCAGUCGAGUGCCUUCGACAACUGGGUCGACCACCAAAGCUUGCCUCCCAGGGGUGGCAAUAUGAGUCGGGUGGUCAGACUGGUCGAAUGUGAUGGGCGUUUGGGACCAUCUCAGAUAACUCGGUUUCGCUGGGGCAACCAUGUUCACCUCACGGUUAAUGACCUUCAAUCUGCUCUUGCUUUCCACAUCUGCGAAAAUCAUCAGAGUGGAGUUGACAUGUGGAUAUCCUCCCUCGCUGUCCUCUUUGUCUUCGGCCUUGUCCGACUCCUUUUCCUUGUCCUUGGACUGUUUCCCUUGGAACUGCUGGAUCAGGAGUCGACACUGGCGAGUGGUAUGCUUCGGGUAAAUGAUAUUACCCUCUUCAUCUUUCUUCGUGUGGAUGUGACACGGCAUAUCCAUCACGGCAUUUCCUUCUUUAUCCUUCACCUUCUUAGGAUUCCAGGAACCUUUUGGUUUCCCUUUGAACUUUCCCUGAGUCACGGCCAGAGCCUCGCCAGGGGCUGCUGGUUCGGCCUUCUGCUUCUGUUUCCGACUGGUGUUUCCCUUCUCCGACUGACUCGGCUUGUAUUUGCCGCUUCGGAGUCGGUCUUCCUCUUCGCCAUUGGCGUACUUGGUAGCAAUCUCCAUCAUCCGACUCAGGGUCAUGUCUCCGGUUCGACCAAACUUCAAACUCAAUUCUCUGUUCUUGACGCCAUCCUUGAAGGCGCAGACUGCCUGAUGGUCAGACACGUUCUCCACGGUAUGAUGCAAAGUGAUCCAUCUCUGAAUAUACUCUCUGAGAGUCUCAUUCGUCUUCUGCACACAGAUUUGCAACUCUAUCAAUCCAGCUGGUCGCUUGCAAGUUCCUUCAAAUGUUCUGACGAACACUCGGGAUAGAUCUUCCCAAGUGUAAAUGCUGCUAGGAGGUAACUGGUUCAACCACGCUCUGGCAGAACCUUCCAACAUGAGGGGCAAAUGCUUCAUGGCCACCUCGUCAUUCCCACCACCAAUCUGAACUGCCACUCGGUAAUCCUCAAGCCAAGUUUCAGGCUUAGACUCACCAGUGAACUUGCUUACUCCAGUGGCCAACCUGAAGUUGGGGGGAAUCACCGCGGCUCUGAUAGCCCUGCUGAAACAUUCUGGACCAGAAACAUGCACUCGACUACUGGUGGGCGCAUCUCUGUCGGGGCCGCCCCGAUGGGCCCUGUUUCGGUCGACCAAGCCUUGCACGAUGAUGGAUCGCGCGUCGAAGCCUGGUUCCCGGGGGUCGACUGGAGCUCUUCGCCCCACACUGAGCUGACGCCUGUCGUCCUGCUGCCGAGGAGCAUAAGACCCACCUCUCGGGGGAGGAGUGGACACUCGACGCCUAUCAUCACGAUCGUGUCGGUCACCGUAUUGGUCUCGCCGAUUCUCGCGUCCUUCACGCCGCAGAGGCGAUCUGGGACUAUGAGCUGACUGAACCGUAUUCACAGCGACGGAUCGACUGUGAAUUCUGUUGCGCAACUGCGACACGGCUGAAUUCUGAUCCCCUGCUGCCCGGAGCAAAUCUCUGAUCUGCAUCAAGCCUCUGCCAGCUUCCGACUGAGAGGGCUGGAUGGAUUCUGCUAUACGGGUUGCAGCUGCUAAAUUCUGAAUCGGGGUUCGAUAUACCUGAGUCGGUGGGAAGAGCUGACGUCGAUUGGCGUCGGGUGCUCGUUGCCGCGCGCGCUCGUCGAGUGCUCGCUGAAGGUUCUCCAGACGAGCGCGUUCAGCCAAGUUGGCUAAACGUGCCUCCUCCAAGGCGCGAGCCUCGGGAGUUUCUCCCGCGAUGGGAGUAUGCAGGGCAUCCAUGUUCCUGCGGCGAAGCUCUUCACUCUGCAGAGAGUCGAGUGGAUCGGGCUGGUACUCUUCGUGGUCUCGUGCGGGAUCGCCUCCACCGCCUGCCCCGCCCUCAUGGGCGAAGCCAGGAGGACUGCGAGGUCCAUUGACCAUCAAGAUUUCCGCCGCCGGAUCACUGCUAUCGCAUUCGGAUGCAGUCUCUACGGAGCCAGUCGACAGAUCGAACAGGCCGUAGAGGGAUUCGUCGGGCUCGAUUGCCGCAACUUGGGCGGUGGCCGUCUGGCGAGCCACCGCGUGCCUCACCCACCGCUGAAGCCUCGACCGACCAGAGCGCUUGCGCUGGUGGGAGACCGGGAGGGUGAUCGAUAGGGGAGUCGACUGAUACGGGGUCGACAGUUGUCGCAGCAGAACGCCACGGACACAUGCGCGAAAAUGCGUCGCACCGCGGACGGGGAGCGCAUCAACUUCGAGUGGAGCCUCCUGGAGCCAAGCGGAAUCGUCGGCGGUGAAUGUGAGAGCACCGAGACGGAUCUUGCGGCCCUCGACCAAAACUCCAGCAGCAACCAUGAUGAAAGUACUCGGAAGAAUCGCAACUUCUCCAAAAAUCGCUAAGACACCUGCCCCACGGUGGGCGCCAACUGUCGUGGUUCUAAGUCUGACAGUAGAGUGGCGGGUAGGUAUGGAGAGGCAAGUUCCUAGCUAUGGAGAGGUUGUAAACACAAGUGAUGUACGAGUUCAGGCCCUUCUUAGAGGAAGUAACAGCCCUACGUCUCGGAGCCCGGAGGCGGUCGAGUGGAUUAUGUGUGCAUGGAUUACAAGAGUGCGAACCCUUUACACUGAGGUGGGGGGUGGCUUAUAUAGUGCCUGCCAGACCCCUCCGGCCCUUAGUAAUGCGGGGUUUAAAGUACAUUAAGUCUGGGCAUUACUGGUAACGCCCCACAUAAAGUGUCUUAAAUACCAUAAAGUCUACUUAACUAGAGACCGUUGCGGUACAGAGUGCUUCUUGACCUUCUGGUGGUCGAGUGAGUCUUCAUGGUCGAGUCCUUCAAGUCUGUCGAGUGAAGUCCUCCUUGGUCGACUGGAAGGUAGUCUCUUCGAAGGGUGUCCUUGGGUAGGGUACUUAGAUCAGGUCUAUGACCCUACCCUAGGUACAUGACUCCAUCAGCUACCUCGGCCAGCACCUCCUCGCCGCGCUCGCCGCCGGGUGCGGGGGCAACAGCGUCGACGUCGACGUGGCCUUCACCCACCACCGUGGGGCUCAUCAUCCCCGGAGGCCACGGCGCCCCUCAAGGCCGACCUGGUGCCCACGCCGCUGAUGUGGGCCCUCCUCCGCCACGUGAGUGAUCCGCCACUUCGAAUCUUUCGAUUCAACAAGAUAUUCGUCAUCUCUUACACUCCGGGGCGCAUAUUGUUGUCUCCAGAUUGCAAAAGCCCAGGCGCGCUCGUGUGGGACUAGGUGGUGCACGAGCACCAGGGGGGAGACUCGUGACCUGCAUCUGGCUCCACGCCGGCGUCGUCCACCUGCUCGCGAACAUGCUUAGCCUCGUGCUCGUCGGGCUCAGGCUCGAGCAGCAAUUCAGAUUCGGUACACGUUCGUCCACGGAACUGACGUGGGCCCUGCAGGUGUUUGGUUGCUUGCCUGCUUGCUCCUAGACGAGUAGAGAUCUUCCUUUGUUUGGUUGUUCUGUCGUGAUCUAUGAUUAGUGAUUAAAUCUUUGAUCCCCUUUGAUGCCAAUGCAUAAUAAUAACUAGUUGUGUUGAGAGGAUUGCGAUGUUGCUUGCUGAGUUGACAGCCUAGAACUGGUAGUGUCUGACUUCUUAGAUUGCCAUUCAGCUAUUAGUAACAGUCCAUCAUGAUCCAUAUAGCUUGUGAUCCUGACAAAGACAAUACAUCUACAUUAGAUAAGAUUUUACUGUGAUUGUGUCCAACUGUCCAUAGUGGUUCUACGCACUAUCUACAUUAAGAGCAUAUCCAGUAGGAGCCUAAAGGCUUGGAUUAUUUCAUCAAAUAACUCAGCUUGUACAAUUUUUUGUCAUCCAAACACAGAUCUAGAAGCUUGCUUUUAAUUGCUUCAAUGCUUCUUUAUACCAAAGUACAUGGGCUUGCAUAAAGAUUUCACUUCAUUCUGUUGAUGUGCCUGCUUCAUAUUAUCAUCCCUGAUAGACAUACUUUAGAGAUUCUAAUUCAUGUAUGAUGGUAUCAAAGGGGAUCAUUGUACUCAUAAUAAUAACUAGUGGAGUUGAGAGGUUUACUUUGCUCUGCAUUCUAAAGUAACAUAUUUCUGAUGCCCAUAUGCUACUUUGCUCUGCACAAAAAUAUCCUGUUAAAUCAUUGCAUGUAUUUCAGGUCUUUACAGUGGCAUUGGAUGGUCAAUAUUAGGUAAACUGCCUGGUUUGGGAGCACGUUUGGCUGCCUGGAUGAUGAUGCUGCUGCUGUCAAUUUACUCUUGAUCGAUUUCUGCCUUGACAAUGUAAGUACUUCCAUUGUUCAACAGUUUGCCGCGUUCAUCAGCUAUCCCAUUUGGUUUGUUUCCUCCAAUUAACUGCUGCUCCUGCUGCUGUUACAGCUGGCUUGGUGGCCUUGCGUGCAUCUUCUCCACCAGCGUUCUCUUCCAAAUCCUGGUAAUUAAGCCUAAUAACAUGUCCACUCACUCACUAUCCUCUAAAAUAAGCUCCCACUCCUUUUCUGAAUUGAAUUAGGUCUCUGAAAUUUAAGCUUAUAGAACCUACAGUGUCAAUCAGGUCUCUGAAAUUUAAGCUUAUAGAACCUACAGUGUCAAUUAGGUCUUUGAAAUUUAAGCUUAUAGAACCUAGGAAAAGAUUAGAAUUAAAAUAUAACAGUGUUGACUGAUCGCCACAGUGUUGUUUUGCUGUGCUUGAUAAACCUGAGACUUCUUUUUAUUGUAAUAUUGAAGUUGUUUGGUUCUGGCCUCAGCAGUAGUACACUCUAAUUUUGGUGGCCUUUAUGUUCAUUAUUUUACAGGAGCUCCAGGCCUAUUUUUUUGGAGUGUGAAGCCGUGAAGCCAAGUGUGAAGCUGUGAAGCCAAGUGUGAAGCAGUACUUAGCAAAGAGUUUUUGGUUCUGUACUUAGCAAAGAGUUUUUGGUUCUGAAGUGUGAAGCCAAGUGUAAAUUGUAAUAUUGUAAAAGUCUAAUGUAGUGUUAAUGAAUUAUAUCUGUUCUGUCCUAUUUGAAAUAAUGAUUAUGUAUGUUGAAAAGAUGUGAAAUGGAAACUUGACCAGUGGGACCCAGUUAUGAAUAUAAUCUGAGCAAUUUUGAAAUUUCUGACAUGUGUGACUGAUGUAUGGCAUUAUGACUAGUGGGACCAGCGCCAAAAUAUAAUUAUUGAAAUAGAAAAUAAAUGAUUGUAAGAAGGCUAAGGCCAAAAAAUAAAGAAGCUAAAAUAUUGGGCUUGGCCCAUGUAGCCCACAAGAAUUAACUUGAAAAAAGCUUGAAUUGUUGGGCUAGGCCCAUGUAGAAAACCGAAUUGGACCGGGCUUAUUCUUGUGCCACAUCAGCUUGCCAUGCUGGAUGCCUAUGUGGCCUGGGGGAGGUUGCUAGUGACCAAAACGCCACAGUGGACAUAUUUUGGUCAUAAACGUCUUCGACCAUUCCAGAAGAAAGGUCGCUAUAGUCAAUUAACGACCCCCAGCUUUUGACCUUAUGUUUUUGGUCACAAAAGGUCACAAAUUGAAAACUAUGACCUUUCAGUGACCAAUAGUGGAGGUCACCAGUUGACAUAUUUCUUGUAGUGACAGGGGGAGGUGGCGCCCCCUUUCCUUUCUCUCAUGAGGAGGGAAAGGUAGGAGGGGCCAACCCUCCCCUUUCCUUCCCCUAGGGCCGGCGGCCUGGGAGAGGGGCACACCAGCCCAUAAGCCCAUAUAGCCUCCCGGGGCUUCCCGGAACCCCUUCCGAUAAUCCGAUGACUACCCAGUACCUCCCGAAACUCUUCCGGUGUCCAAAUAUCAUCGUCCUAUAUAUAGAUCUUACCUCCGGACCAUUCCGGAGCUCCUCGUCAUGUCUGUAAUCUCAUUCAGGACUCCAAACAACAUUCAGUCGCCAAAUCAUAUAACUCAUAUAACACUAUAUCAUCAACGAAUGUUAAGCGUGCAAACCCAACGGGUUCGAGAACUAUGUAGACAUGACUGAAACACCUCUUCGGUUAAUAACCAAUAGCAGAACCUGGAUGCCUACACACUAGUAGAAAAAGGGUCAAACGUGAAGCACAUUAGUGUCGGUUUGUAUUAGAGCCGGCACUAAUGUAUACAUUAGUGCCGGUUCCAACGGCUAGCCGGGCCGCUCUCAUUAGUACCGGUUCGUGGCUAACCUUUAGCACCGGUUCGUGCCACGAACCGGUACUAAUGAGGGUGGUGGCAGGAUGUUGUUAGUCUGGGCCCCCUCCAGCACCUUUAGUACCGGUUCGUGCCAUGAACCGGUACUAUAGGUCGACGUACAUAAACCCUUCAUCCACCCGAGCCACUCUGUUCUUCCCCUUUCCCCUCACUUCUCCUCUAUUCUUCCCCUUUCCCCUCGAGCUCCUCACAAAUUUUGCCCAAAAUUUGUCAAGAUUUGAAGGUCCCAAUCCAUUCAAAUGAUCACAAAGGUUAGCAACUUUGUCCUUUCAACUCUCAUUGCUAGAUUAGCUCUUCCCAUGCUUUGUAUAGUUACUAAUUUGUGAGUUUAGUAAUUUGGGAGGAAAUAUAUAUAUGUGCUAGUAUUUGAUUUAUAUGCAAUUUGAGGUCACAAAUAACACUUAGUUUGCAUAUGUAGGUGUGGUUUACUUAGUGCCUUCUAAAUCUCCGUCGUAACCACCGUCGAUCGCCCGCACCGUCCCGUCACCGGCACCACCUUGUGGUGAGCCUCUUGUUCAUGUAAUUUUAUAUUAAAAAAUUGAUGUUUAUGUGAUUUGGAUAUAUAGUUAAUCAUGUAAUAAUUAUCUUACCCGUACGUUGUUUGUUAUACAUAGUGCCAUGGUUUUGAUAUCUGUCCCCGUCGGCCCUCGUCCUUGUUAUGAUUCGGAUGUGGUAUAUUCUCUUUUAAAACUAUUUGUUGCAUUUCGUGUUUAUGACAAAUUAUGCCCAUCAAGUUGACAUAGAUAUUUUUAUCUAGGAGGUAUGUGAACCGGAAAUUCCAACCGACCCUAUUGUCGAGAGGUUAAAUUUAGUUGAAAGAGAAAACGAGUACUUGAAAGAAAAAUUGAAAAGAAUUGAGGGGGAGAAGAUGGAAUUGGAGUUGCAUGUUGCCGAUGUCGUCGAUGAUCACAAGAUCAAGAUGGAGAAAAUGCGCUUGAAGAAUAGAAAGAUUAGAAAAUAUGCCAUUGAUAGUGAGGCUUGGUAUCAUUAUGCUGUUGGAUCAAUUGUUACCUUAGUUGCGAUCUUGAUCGCAUUUGUUGUUGCAUUUAAAUGCUUUAGCUAGAGAGUUAUUUGUUUGUUGCAUUUAAGUGUUGUAUGAACUUUAUGUAUGAACUUGUAUUAAUUUGAUCUAUUCGGUAUUGUGUAAUGAAGAUGAGCCGGCAAUGGAUGUACAAUGACCGAUGCUCUCCCCAGUUCGUUGAGGGCGUGUAUACUUUUCUGCUUGCGGCUGAGGCAAACAAGCGGGCGGAUGGUUUUAUGCCUUGUCCAUGUGGUGUCUGUAAGAAUGGUCACAAUUACUCUACGUCAAGAACCAUUCACGUCCACCUGUUUGAGUCCGGUUUCAUGCCCCACUAUAAUGUUUGGACCAAGCACGGAGAAAGAGGGGUUAUGAUGGAAGACAAUGAAGAAGAAGAGGACGACGACAGCUAUCCUGGCCAUGGGUUCCCUGAAUACGAUGAUACAACAAUGGGGGAAGAAGCUGAGCCGGUAAUGCGGGAAGAAGCUGAGCCAGCAAUGCGGGAAGAAGCUGAAGAAGAGGCAUCAGAUGAGCCCGUUGAUGAUCUAGGUCGGGCCAUUGCCGAUGCAAAGAGAAACUGCGCAAGUGAUUUGGAGAAGAAGAAGUUGCAGCGCAUGUUAGAGGAUCACAAAAAAUUGUUGUGCCCGAAUUGCAUAGGUGACAAGAAAAAGCUGGGCACCACACUGGAAUUGCUGCAAUGGAAGGCAGAGAAUGGUGUAUCUGACAAGGGAUUUGGAAAGUUGCUGGUAAUGAUAAAGGAUAUGCUUCCAAAGGACAACGAAUUGCCCGAGAGUACGUACGAAGCAAAGAAGGUUGUAUGCCCUCUAGGGUUAGAGGUGCAAAAGAUACAUGCAUGCCCUAAUGAUUGCAUCCUCUACCGCGGUGAGUACGAGGAUUUGAACGCUUGCCCGGUAUGUGGUGCAUUGCGCUAUAAGAUCAGCCGCGAUGAGCCUGGUGAUGUCGAGGGCGAGCGCCCCAGGAAGAAGAUUCCUGCCAAGGUGAUGUGGUAUUCUCCUAUAAUACCACGGUUGAAACGUUUGUUCCAAAACAAAGAGCAUGCCAAGGCGAUGCGAUGGCAUAGAGAAGACCGUAAGAAAGACGGAAAGUUGAGAGUACCCGCUGACGGGUCGCAGUGGAGAAAAAUCGAAAGAAAGUACGGGAAGGAGUUUGCAGAUGACGCAAGGAGCGUAUGGUUUGGUCUAAGCGCAGAUGGCAUUAAUCCUUUUGGGGAGCAGAGCAGCAACCAUAGCACCUGGCAUGUGACUCUAUGUUUGUAUAACCUUCCUCCUUGGUUGUGCAUGAAGCGGAAGUUCAUUAUGAUGCCAGUGCUCAUCCAAGGCCCUAAGCAACCCGGCAACGACAUUGAUGUGUACCUAAGGCCAUUAGUUGAAGAACUCUUACAGCUGUGGAAUGGAACAGGUGUACGUGCGUGGGAUGAGCACAUGGGGGAAGAAUUUGACCUCAAGGCGUUGCUGUUCGUGACCAUCAAUGAUUGGCCUGCUCUCAGUAACCUUUCAGGACAGACAAACAAGGGAUACCGUGGAUGCACGCACUGUUUGGAUGAUACCGACAGUAUAUAUUUGAAUAGUUGUAAGAAGAAUGUGUACCUAGGACAUCGUCGAUUUCUUCCGAGCAGGCAUCCCGUAAGAAAGAAAGGCAAGCAUUUCAAAGGUGAGGCGGAUCACCGGACGAAGCCUCGCCACCGUACUGGUGCUGAUGUACAUGAUAUGGUCAAGGAUUUGAAGGUGAUAUUUGGAAAGGGUCCUGGCGGACAACCUGUUCCGAAGGACGCGGACGGACGCGCACCCAUGUGGAAGAAGAAAUCUAUAUUUUGGGACCUGCCAUAUUGGAAAUACCUAGAGGUCCGCUCCGCAAUCGACGUGAUGCACGUCACGAAGAAUCUUUGCGUGACCCUGCUUGGCUUCUUGGGCGUGUAUGGGAAGACAAAAGAUACACCUGAGGCACGGGAGGACCAGCAACGUAUGCACGGAGAAGACGACAUACAUCAGGGUCAUGCAAGCUACGCUCUUACCAAAGAAGAGAAGGAAAUCUUCUUUGAAUGCCUGCUCAGUAUUAAGGUACCGUCUGGCUUCUCGUCGAAUAUAAAGGGAAUAAUAAACAUGGCAGAGAAAAAGUUCCAGAACCUAAAGUCUCAUGACUGCCACGUGAUUAUGACGCAACUGCUUCCGGUUGCAUUGAGGGGGCUUCUACCGGAAAACGUUCGAUUAGCCAUUGUGAAGCUAUGUGCAUUUCUCAAUGCAAUCUCUCAGAAGGUAAUCGAUCCAGAAAUCAUACCAAGGUUACAGAAUGAUUUGGUGCAAUGUCUUGUCAGUUUCGAGUUGGUGUUCCCACCAUCCUUCUUCAACAUCAUGACGCACGUCCUAGUUCACCUAUGCGAAGAGAUUAACGUUUUGGGUCCUGUAUUUCUACACAAUAUGUUCCCCUUUGAGAGGUUCAUGGGAGUCUUAAAGAAAUAUGUUCAUAACCGUGCUAGGCUAGAAGGAAGCAUCUCCAAGGGCCAUCAAAAUGAGGAGGUCAUUGAGUUUUAUAUUGACUUUAUUCCUGACCUUAAGCCGAUUGGUGUUCCUGAAUCGCGGCAUAAGGGCAGACUGGAUGGAAAAGGCACGCUAGGAGGGGAACAAAUAAUAUGUAUGGACGGACAUUCUCUCACUGAAGCACACUACACAGUUCUAUAGAAUUCCACCUUGGUGGCUCCGUAUAUGGAUGAACACAAGAAUUUGCUACGCUCCAAACACCCGGAGCGGUCUGAUGAGUGGAUUACACGUGAACAAACCAGGAGUUUCGCCAACUGGUUGCAGACACGUACCAUGCAUGAGACCUCUAUUGAAGAUGACCUGUACUUGCUAUCCCAGUUUCCAUCUUCGAAUAUAAUGACUUUCAAAGGGUACGAGAUAAAUGGUAAUACAUUUUACACGAUCGCCCAAGAUAAGAAGAGCACCAACCAAAAUAGUGGUGUCCGCUUUGAUGCAGAAACCAAGACGGGAAAGGAAACAUAUUAUGGUUAUAUACAAGACAUAUGGGAACUUGACUAUCGACGUGGUUUAAAGGUCCCUUUGUUUUGGUGCAAAUGGGUCAAUAUGACACGAGGCGGGGUAACGGAAGACCCGCAGUAUGGAAUGACAACAGUGGAUCUCAACAAUCUUGCGUAUACAGACGAACCAUUCGUCCUAGCCAGUGAUGUGGCACAGGUUUUCUAUGUGAAGGACAUGUCUACCAAGCCAAGAAAAAGAAAAGAUAAGGAAGCGAAUGCAUCGUACGAUGAGCCAAAGCGGCACAUAGUUCUUUCUGGGAAGAGAAACAUCGUGGGAGUGGAUGACAAGACAGACAAGUCAGAAGAUUAUGAAAAGUUUGAUGAAAUUGCUCCAUUCACAGUGAAUAUUGACCCGAGCAUCCCGUUAAAUGAUGAAGAUUUUCCAUGGUUACGGCGCAAAGGGACACACGCGAAGAAAAAGUUUCACACCCAAAGAUCUGGGAUGUGAUCGGCUUCACUAUCAUCACUUUCUUCUGUGUUUCACACCCAGGAGGGAAUGUCUGUAAUAGUUAGGGUAGUUAUGUGUUUUGGCAUUUGAAACGCGAAGAAAUUUUAUCUGCAAACAAAUUCUGUUCAUGCAUUUACUGAUUUUUUUCCAGCUAAAUGACCCUGAAAUUGAAAAGCAAUUCAAAUGAACUCAGAAAAGGUUGAAAGUUGGCAUGGUAUCAUAAUUUCAUACAAAUAGCAUGUACAAGAAAGUAGAGAGGGUUACGGCAGAAACUGGAUGCACUUCGUGUACAAAAUGGACAAUCUCUUUCGAAGUAUCAGGGUUUCCGACGAAAACUAAACUGUUACAAAGGCAUUUCAUUUUUUAAAUUACUAAACAUUACUAAAUUGAAUAUAAUGCUAAAACACACUAAUAUUAAACAUAAGAAAAAAGAAUCACUGAAGAAACUUUUUUCAAAGUUAAGUUAUUCACAAACUAGUGAUUCACACAAAUUUCAAAUAAUUCAAAAUUUAAACUAUUCAAAUUUGAAAUCUACCGGCACUAACAGAAAGUUUGUAAUUUUUUGUACCUAAAGCAAAAAUAUUCACAAAGAAACUCUAAAUACAGCAAAAAAACAACUCAAAAAUAAAUAAAACAAAAAAUAAAGCAAAAACAAAUUAAGAAAAAAAAGCCCGCCUACUGGGCCAAAGCGGCCUGCAUACGACUAGCGACACAACCUUUCGUUGGGCCAGGAUGCAGGCCCGCGAAGGCCCAGUAGGCCCACAAGGCGAGGAGGACAGGUAGGCCCAGUAGGCCUGAUUAGGAGAGGAGCUCGAGAGAGCUACCGCACUGGGGCUUAUAAACCAGUGCGGUAGCCCCUCGACUAGCGAGGUGGGACUAAACUUCCGCACCGCACCUGCGCCAGCGCACCCCCUUUAGUACCGGGUCGUGGCACAAACCGGUACUAAAGGGGGGGNNNNNNNNNNNNNNNNNNNNNNNNNNNNNNNNNNNNNNNNNNNNNNNNNNNNNNNNNNNNNNNNNNNNNNNNNNNNNNNNNNNNNNNNNNNNNNNNNNNNNNNNNNNNNNNNNNNNNNNNNNNNNNNNNNNNNNNNNNNNNNNNNNNNNNNNNNNNNNNNNNNNNNNNNNNNNNNNNNNNNNNNNNNNNNNNNNNNNNNNNNNNNNNNNNNNNNNNNNNNNNNNNNNNNNNNNNNNNNNNNNNNNNNNNNNNNNNNNNNNNNNNNNNNNNNNNNNNNNNNNNNNNNNNNNNNNNNNNNNNNNNNNNNNNNNNNNNNNNNNNNNNNNNNNNNNNNNNNNNNNNNNNNNNNNNNNNNNNNNNNNNNNNNNNNNNNNNNNNNNNNNNNNNNNNNNNNNNNNNNNNNNNNNNNNNNNNNNNNNNNNNNNNNNNNNNNNNNNNNNNNNNNNNNNCCCCGUCGCCGCGCGCCCCCCGUCGCCUCUCGCCUAGCCGGCCGGUGAGCGCGAACACACACACACAUACAUUUUUAGUUAUAGAUUUUUCUGUUUUUAAGAAAUUGUUAGACAUUUUUCUGUUUUUUAGAAAUAGUUAGAAAUGUUAGAAUUGUUAGAAUUGUUAGAAAUGUUUGAAAUUGUUAGAAAUUUUUCUGUUUUUUAGUUAUAGAAAUAGUUAUAAAAAAGUUAGAAUUGUUAGAAAUUUUUCUGUUUUUUAGUUAUAGAAAUAGUUAUAAAAAUGUUAGUUAUAUAUAUAGAAAUGUUAUAAUUUUUUUCUGUUUUUUAGUUAUAGAAAUAUUAGAAAUGUUAUAGAAAUGUUAGUUAUAUAUAGCAUUGUUAGAAAUGUUAUAGAAAUGUUAGUUAUAUAGAAAUGUUAGAAAUUUUAGUUAUCAAAAUCCAAUCAUUAAAAAAAUGUUACUUUUUGCGGGCAUAUAGCUAGUAUUUGUUCUCGAUGAUGCCCGGCCCGCAUCCUCGCCGUCGACCCGUCCGCGACGCUGUCCAGCCGACCCAUGUCCGGGACUGGGCUCCGCCGGGCUGGCACUGGGAGGUGCUGCUUGGAGGGGCGCGCCGCUUGACGAGGAACCCGGCCGCGGGUCCAGUCAUCGACCCUGAUCUCGUUUGGUGGCGUUCGCGUGGGCCAGUUUCGGUGCGGAGGGACCCAGCCCCGCCGGAGGUGGUACGUCGCCGUGUCAGGGAGGAGGACGAGCACGUCCAUCGCUACAUGGUUGCGUUAGAGGGCGGCAGGUUCUCCAAUACGUGGCAGUAUCUUCGGGGAUCUCACUUCAGCUAUGAUCCUGUGAGGGUUCCUUCUCUUUGGGUGUCCACUGCCCGCGCCGGAGGAACCGCGAGUGUCCUAGAUUCUUCUGUAGUAUUCGAUCUUUAUUAGCUAAUAGCCAGUGAUGUACUAUUCAAUAUUAUAUAUUAUUCGAGACGAUGUAUUCGAGAUUAUAUCUAUUAUUCUGGACGAUGUAUUCGAGAUUAUAUCUAUUAUUCGAGAUUUGAAUACUAAAUUGUUUUAUAUUUCUUUUGGAUUAGUUAAACAAAAGCUAUGGCAGACAAUACCGACAGAGAGGGAGAACAGGCCAUGUUCGAUAUGAUACGCGGGGCAGAUGACAAUCAAAAUGAAGAAGAUUAUGACGGCUCCGAAUUUCUAAACAACACCGGAGAGGGUGAUAUGAUAUUCGAUCACGACGAAGUCAUGAAUGAUUAUAACGAUGACGAAGAACAUGAUCCUGAAACAACAAACACCGACGAGGUAUAUAUAUUUAUAUAAGUAGGCAUCUGGUGAUCAUCACAUGUUUUAAAUGACUUGAAGAUAUAUUAGUGAAUCGAUCUUUGUUCUUUCAGCCAUCCGGAUCGAGCAAAUCUUCAGGCAAAAGGACGAAACGAGGCCCGAACAAAAAGUUGAAGCCGGGCGUAAAGUACAAUAUCGAGGCAUGCGGCCCUACUGGCAAACCAGUAGCGCCUAAGAAGAUUGCGGACAAGUUCGUUCGUCAGUGCGGAGUUCUUGUGAAGGACCAACUCCCGAUCAAACUUCAAGAAUGGAGAGCGCCAGCAAAGCCACGUCCAGAUGUUACUUAUGUCGACAAGAAUCAAAAAGAUCUGCUUUGGGACACUCUCAUGGAACAUUUCACCCUACCAGAUCAUUUCACAGAAGCAGAUGUGCAGAAAGUCAAAGAGGCUGCUCUUAAGAUGAUGGCGACUGCAUUCAAGAACUACAAGAAUGGUGAAUGGAACAAGUACGUCAACGGAGGAAGGAAGACUCCAGUAUUCAAGGGAACACUGGAGAACCAACGUGAUCAUUGGGACGAUUUCGUGAAAUUCAAGGAUUCGGAAUUAGCUAAGGAACGGUCGAGAAUAAACAAGAAGAAUGCUGAAAAAAAGGAUAAGUUCCAUAAGCUGGGGCCAGGUGGCUAUGCGGUGGCAAUGCCUAAGUGGGAUAAGUCUGAGAAAGAGAUGGAGGAUGCAGGUGUCACUCCGUCUACUAAGAGCUGGCCCCCCAGGGUCAGGACUUGGUUCUAUGCGCAUGGGGGGGAGUUGGACCGGGAGACAGGCAAUGUUUCGACGAGGGCAAGUCUGAAGGGAGCCGACGAUGCGAUACUUGUUGCAAUAGAAGAGGCACGAGCGGGGGUGUUCUAGCCCAACAGAGAGAACGACGAGCUUACGCGUGCCCUGGGAAAUCCUGAACACCCGGGAAGAACACGAGGCAAGGGCGCUCUGCCGUGGUAUGAGGGGUUUUCAGAAUGGAACAACGACUACAGAACCCGUGCGAGAAAGAAGAUUGCGGAGGAGAAGAAGAGGAAGAUGGAGGAGGAGCAGAGGAAGCGGGACUAUGAACGCCUUCAAGGCCUAGAAGCAAGUCAAGCGGAAUUGGCAGUCAAAUUCCAGCGGCAGCAGGAGCAGAUCGACUCACUUACCCAUCAAAGGGGGUCUCAGCAGCUGCAGCAGCUAGCGGAUGAUCCAGCAUUGGAUAGCACCGGCCCAUCCAUGCCGAGAAGCAGCAUGGGUUCCGUCCCGGACGACCCAAUGCUGGGUAGAUACCCCGUGGAUGACAUCACGGAGAACACUAACUGCGAGCUACACGUCAAAAUGAAGAACAUAUCCAUGAAGGUGGCGGACGGCUGUGCUUUCACAAAUCCCCCCGAGGCAACCUUCCAUUGCAACCCGAUUCCAGCGGGCUUUGCUUGUGUCAUGGUUGAUGAGGUGGACCCACCAUAUUCGGGGCUACAGCUUGACAUUGCUGGAGGUGACAGCGAGCGCUUUCUCGGAGAGGCCAAACAUCGUAUCAUCCUAUGGAAAAAGGAUUGCAUCAUCUUUCCAAGGCCACCGCCACCGCCGCCAAGGGAGAAAGUGCCUGAGGAAACGAUUGACCACUUCAUUCGUAUGGCUCAACCACCAGCUUCCAAGCCUGUUGACACAGACUAUGAGCGCCACAUCAGGAAGUUAAAUCGAGCACGUCUACAAAGGGAGGCGAGCACGUCUACAUCGGGAUCGAGCAAACAAGAAGCAGCUGCCAAAAAAUGCGGGAAAACCAUUCCCCAGCUGGGAGAACAGGCGGCGCAAUCGAUCCCCUCGCUUGUUGUGCCAACAACAGGUGACAGUACGCGCCCCCAAUAUUAUUGUGGACAAACAGUGCAUGUUCCCGAGGUGGGCAAUGUGGUAAUAACGGAGGAGCAUAUAAUGCAGGCUGAAGUUCUCAACAUCACUGUUGGACAACUCCUCGAGAUUGAGCCCAUGCCUUUGCUUAGAGAGGAUGAAGUAAAACGGAAAUAUGUCCGCGGCCAACCUUUGGUCGUGCCAGACAAGGUCAAGAAGCUCCCAACGAGAAUGUAUGAAUUGCAUCAAUGGUACAUGAACAUUACCAAGAUUUCAGAUCGAGUGUCCCUCAUGGUGAAUGUCAAGAAGGACCAUUACUACCAUGAGAAAGCUGGGUCUGUUGAGUAUUUAGAACUGUUUCAGUUAUACAAUCAGGACGCACUCGACAAAUCUAUCGUCAGUUGUUAUUGUCUGUAAGUGAUCUCUUUCUAUAAUUUAAGUCUCAAGCUAGCUGUAGUGAUCCUUUUGAUCAAUCAUUACCUGUAAUUAUCCUCACUAUAUUCUUCUCUGUGGUAUUAUGCAGGAUGAAGAUAUAUGAAAUGAGAAAAGGUGGACGCUAUGGCAUUGGGUUCAUUGACCCAAACACCGUUAAUGAAUUCGCAUGGAAGAUAAAUGAACAUCAUGCAAAGGAAGUAGAGGACAGCAUGCUAGAGUUCUUGAAGCGCCUCAAAUACAAUGAAGAUAUACUACUUCCUUACCACUUUGGGUGAGUCACACUGUCUUGUACUACAAAUUCUCUGUUUUUGCCUACUAGCUAGCUACAUGUUUUUACUUACAUAUGCCUGCUUAAUUAAGACAUGUAAACGUGUGUGCAUGCAGAUUUCACUGGGUCUUGUGUAUCAUUAAAGUUGACGACGGAACAGUUGAAAUACUGGACUCAUUAAUCUCAAAAAACACUGACUUUAACAUCUUGUAUCGGAUAGUCAACAGGUAAUUUCAAUCAUUAUUAACUAUAUAUCUCGGCCUAUUUAGUUCAUCAUUUCAUGAUAUGAACUAUUUAAUAACCCCUUUAUUCAUUUUCUUUAUCGCCGGGCAGGGCUUGGGCAAGAUUCAUCAGCGUCACGGAAGGUGAAUGGAAACAAAAGCUUCAAUGGUUUCGACCCAAGGUAAUUAGUAAUUAAGUAGUACUAGCUAGCUAGCUAGCUGCCAUCUCUUUAAUUAUCAUGCUUGAUUAAUUUUUAUCUGAUCAAAUUCCAUUCUUGUAAAGGCCCUGAAGCAGGCGCAGGGGACUGAUCUGUGUGCAUUCUGCGUUUGCGAGAACAUUCGUAUGAUGGCAUCCGAAAGGAGCAGAUCUCAAAGACAACAAUGGGUACGCUUGUCAGAACACUAUUCACAAUUUUUACACCAUUAUCGAUAUCUAGUCACACAACUAAUACACAUGCAUAUUGAUCUCCUUCUUAACAGUUCAAAGAGGUGCGGGAGAAGCUCAUAGAAACGGAGCGCGUAGAAGCACUUCAAGAGGAAAUAGCGGGAUUUUUGCUCGACCAGGUCAUAAAUCCGAAUGGAGAAUUCUAUUACCCGCUACCGCCCCCAUGAAAACCACUUUCAAUUGUCAUCGUGCUCCGAAGGCACCAAUUAGACUGGCUCCGAAGGCAACAUUCAUAUGUAGGAGAAAUUGUAUAUAGCUAUACAUGUGUGUAUGUGUGAAUUAAUUAAUAUGGUGGUUUAAUUUGUGAGACAUUGAUGUGAUAUAUAUAUGCAUGAUUGGUUCUACUAGAAAUUAUAUAUAUAUAUAUAUAUAUAUAUAUGCAUGACGUGUACAAUGUGUAGUAUCGUAAAAUACCAGCAAACGAAAAAGAAUUAAAAUGGAAACACAAAAUUAAAUGAAAAAGAAAUCAUAAAACUAAAAACCCUCCAAACCUUAUAGUACCGGUUGGUCUUACAAACCGGUACUAAAGGGCUCCAGGUCCACGGAGCUGGCUCGUGCCACGUGGUUGCCCUUUAGCACCGGUUCGUGCUGAACCGGUACUAAGGGGGGGGGGCUUUAGUGACCACAAAUUAGUGCCGGUUAUGUAACCGGCACUAUAGGGCCUUACGAACCGGUGCUAAUGCCCGGUUCUGCACUAGUGACAUUGGUUCCUACAUAUUCUACGAAGAUCUUUAUCGUUCGAACCGUUAUGACAACAUACGUAAUUCCCUUUUUCUGAUGGUAUGUUACUUGCCCGAGAUUCGAUCUUCGAUAUCUCCAUACCUAGUUCAAUCUCAUUACCGGCAAGUCUCUUUACUCGUUCCGUAAUACAUCAUCUCGUAACUAACUCUUUAGUCAUUUUGCUUGCAAGCUUCUUGUGAUGUGUAUUACCGAGAGGGCCUAGAGAUACCUCUCCGAUACACAGAGUGACAAAUCAUAAUCUCGAUCCAUGCCAACUCAACAGAUACCUUCGGAGAUAUCUGUAGAGCAUCUUUAUGAUCACUCAGUUCGUUGUGACGUUUGAUAGCACACAAGGUAUUCUCUCGGUUUCCGGGAGUUGCAUGAUCUCAUAGUCAAAGGAAUAUGUAUUUGACAUUAAGAAAGCAGUAGCAAUAAACUGAACGAUCAUAUGCUAAGCUAACGAAUGGGUCUUGUCCAUCAUAUCAUUCUCCUAAUGAUGUGAUCAUGUUAUCAAAUAACAACACAUGUCUAUGGUUAGGAAACCUUAACCAUCUUUGAUCAACGAGCUAGUCUAGCAGAGGCUCACCAGGUACACGGUAUUUAUUUAUUUAUCCACACAUGUAUUUAAGUUUCCGAUCAGUACAAUUCUAGCAUGAAUAAUAAAUCUUUAUUAUGAAUAAGAAAAUUUAAUAAUAAUAAUAAUAACUUUAUUAUUGCCUCUAGGGCAUAUUUCCAUCAAAUAGGUGCACAUAUAGCUACUCAGUGAUCUCGUGGAGCAUAUGUGGACCUACAAUGAAAACGAAAGAGCUAAUUUCUCGCCAAAAAAAAGAACCAAUGAGCUAAUGUUUGAAUUAUGCACUUCAAAUAAAUUUUAUGUUCUAACUAUAUAUUUUUGCUACCAACAAAUAUUUAUUUACAUGUGAUAUUUCACAUGUAUAAUUAACGUGUAUAGAUUUGCAUGAAUUUGAUGGUUUGCAUUUGAUCGAGAUCCAGAUCGAGACGACCCUGACCGAAACCCCGCCACCAGCGCCGCCGCGGGGACGCACCACCACCUCCCAGCCCUGCAGCCACCGGGAGCCCCGCCAGACCUGGGUAGGGUACGAGGGGGAGAAUAUCAGGUGCCCCCGGAGCACCUAACCUUAGGUGCUCCGAUGCAACCUCGGCCGCUGGAUUGUGAUCCAGUCGGCAGCAUCAUGGGGAUGUGGACCAAAGCAUCAUUUCAGGAAUGUUCGGGGCGUUUUCUGCAAGAUAUUCAUGCUAGAUUUGUCUUUUUUGUUUCUCAAUGUGUAUUUUGAAUUUCGAUUCGAAUUUUUUAUAGAUUGUACACUCAUGUGAUGUAAAUAUCCACAAAUUUUUUUGAAUUUUUUUAAAACAUUUGGAUGCGCAUUUUGAAAUUUUGAAUCAUGAGAGCCCUAGAUAUUCUCCCGGGUACGAGAGACUUGGGUUGCCUGAUACUAUAACUAGAUCCAUAGAAUGAAACUUGGCCGGUAAGGAAUCACACCACGCGCGCGCGGCGUGCUAAUUGCUAAACGGCGAGAGAAUUGCGUAGCACGACGGUUCUCGGCUCCAAACUGGGCGAGGUGGCUAGCUGCUCCCUCCCGUUUGAUUAUGUUGAACGCGGAGCCGGAAGGAAAGUCGCGGGAAGCUUCCACUUGAUUAUGUCCACGUCAAUUUAGUGAUAUGUACGCGGAUUCGACGCUUACCAAACUUUUUUUUCCGAAACAUAGUACUCCGCGCGCGGAUUCGACGCUUACUUUCAGAAUUCAGAAAGAACAAGAAAAUAACAGAAAUAGUACUAAUAAUAUAGGUAAGCGUCGAAUUCUUUCUGAAUUCUGAAAGUAAGCGCACUGCACAAUUGGUAUUGAACAGUGCUGAGUGCUGACACUAUUCAUAGCCGGUUCGUCUUUUAUUUUCGUUUCAUGAAAUGUGGAUUGUGUUCGACGCCAAAUUCACAGUCGUUAUUUUCCGCCUCGCCGGUGCUGCACCCUGCAAACUCGCCGCUCAAUUUCUGCCAGAGUUGCGCCGGCCGACGGCAGAGAUGCUGUAGGAAGGUCGAGCCCAAGCCAUACCCGGCGGACGUCGCCGAAAUCGGAGAAGUAGCUGGUCGUUCCAGUCGUCGUCGUUGCCUUCCUUCCCGGCGUCAUUCGCCCCGCCCACGAACCGCGGCAGGACCGCAGCACCGGUGCUCUACUCUGUCGACUCUAAUCCAGGUGGGUGUGCGUGCGAGGGACCAAUAUCGCCGAUAUUCCUUUGCUUUCGUUCGCGGCUAUAUAAGUACGUUCUUUUCGUUUAAGUGCUCCCUCACACAAUCAAUCACAUUGUACCAACUCUCUUCUUCAGGCUAGGGCCCCAGUGUACUGCCCACCUGGAUACUACUGUCCGUCUGGAGCUUCUUCUUUUUUCUGAUCCUACUAAUCCAGGUACGCAGCCUGCAUGCCUCGUUCGUUCCAUUUAUGUACGUGUAAGAAGAAGAGUAUACUUUGCAUCAGUUUUGUGGUUCAAUCGUUUGAUAUGGUGCCCUUUUUUUGUGCGGGGCUCGUCACCAAGAUCAUCUCGUAAAAAAUAAAGAACAUUCGUCUUCUUUUUCCUCAUCCUCAUCCAUAUGAUGACUAGUCAGCCCUCCUCCUCCUCCUCCAACUCAGAUCUUAAGUCCGCGUCCGGUCCUCCAUACACCCGUCUCUCUCUCUCUCUCUCUCUCUCUCUCUCUUCCAUUCCCCAAUCUCGACUGUCCCUGUUUCGAUCCGGAGAUGACGAUCAGGGGACGCCGGCGACCUGGCCGUGCUCCAGGCCCAAGGCCGCGCCUCCCAAACAGCACCACGACGCGCUCACGCGAUACCAAGUGGGUCGCCCACGGACCGCCAGGAAAUUCGGCUUCUCAACGUCGACGUCGACCCCAAGGCGCACCGCAGAUCGACGUUUAGAAGCCGAAUUCCUCAACGCCGCCGCCGUCACUCCACCACCAUAGCUGGUGAUCCACCGUCAAACCUCUUUCCAAUCACUAGCUCUUGUCUGUGCACAGGAUCCUCUCCUCCCCUCUACGUUUCCCCUCAACCAAUUUGAUUGAUGAUGCCGCAGACGCAGACGCAGACGCCGCCGCUCGAUCUACACCGCCGACCCCGCCUGCCUUGUGCCCUUCCCCUUACGAGCGGGCAAACUCGUCUAUGCUCUAUAACCACUCAACUGAGCAGCAGCAGCAGCAGCAGCAGCAGGUGAGAAUGAGAUACAUGCAUGCAGCUGGGUUAUGAAUGUUAUCAUCUCACUUGCACUAGGAACUUGCUGGAUCCUAUGCAAAAUAAACUGCAAUGAUGCAGGCUGGCUAACAUGUGUUGUAUAUAUAUACAACUAUAUAUAUCAGUAAAAGUUAUAUAUCAUCAUCUCAGUUGUUUCGCCCUUCUAUCAUGUUGAUGUAUGAAGAACCAUGCAAAAUAAACUCUGCACCACCAAAAUUAGCAUAUUCUGUUGGUCUUAACUGAAAGUGCAUCCUCAACUAUUUCAAAAGCCACAACAAUUCUUCAGAUUCACCAUUCCCUUGUCGUUUGCUGUCAACAUCUGUCGCAAACUAUAUUACAAACAUGUAUCUCUCUGUAUCUUUCCAAAGUUAUUGUACUGAAUACUACUCAUAAACAGAGCAUCUGCAGGUUGAUACACACACACUCCUGACACGGACGCGCCGAGAGAAUGCAGUUCUGGAGCCGUGUUGCGGCCAUGCUGCCCAUUGAGCUCAACAAUCAAGGCAUAGUCGACAACCUCACCGAAAAUAAUAAGACCAGGGUGUGGGUUAGCAGACGGAUAGGGGAGGACCAACUCUACUUGGUGCAUGUUCAGCGCACUCCAGGCAUUGGUCUCCCGACCUCACUGGUCGUCAAGUAUUUCCAGAACAUGAACCCAACACCGCUACUGGAUGACAGUGUUAAGAAUCGAUGCAAGUCAGAGAUGAUCCUGUUAGCUAGCAUCUCACACAACAACAUCAUCAACGUCCUAGAUGUCAUCGAGAGGGAUGAGGCCGUCAUGCUAGCCUACAAGUAUGAGGUGAAUGGCAACCUUGGCUACUGGCUGCACCAGCCCAAGGAUGCCGGUCGUCCAUUGUCCUGGCCGGAGAGGAGGACCAUCGCCAUCGGCGUCGCCAAAGGGCUCUGCCACUUGCACCAUGGAUGCAACAAGCCGAUUGUCCACCACAACAUCAGCUCCCACAACAUCUUGCUUGAUCAGAAUUUCAAGGCCGUGAUAGCCAGUUUUGGCGCUGCACAGAUGAACAUGGUCGGCCUCAACCAACCGUUGCCGAUCGCGGAGAUUCCGGUUGGUAACUUUGGGUAUGCAGCUCCAGGUAUGGCAGGGGAUCGUUGCACACAAUGGUUUUUGUUUCUUAACUAGCUUGGUCUUUUAACGACUUAUUACUUAUAGGCAAUUGAUUAUUUGCAGAAUAUGGUACAGCGCCAGGCCAGCUGACGGAGAAAGUAGACAUUUACAGUUUUGGUGUGGUGCUGCUAGAGCUCGUCACAGGGCGGGUGGCGAACGGAGCUGGAGCGGAUGGUCAUUUGGCGAUUUGGGCACAGGAUAAUUGCAAUGAGCUGAUGGCAAAUCAUCGGGAAAUGUUCAUGAUGGUCGUCGACAGAGAGAUCCCAGAUCGUGCACGAUACAUGGAGGAGAUGGUGAUGGUGUUCAGGCUGGGUGUGGAUUGCACCGCCAGGGGUCCGCAUCUAAGGCCGUCCAUGCAGAUGGUUCUCAAACGUCUCCGCCGGGGCCGAUUCCGUGCCCCCCUCAGCUGCUACCUACUGUGAAGCCACCGGCCAAACAAACAAUUUUGCUAUUCCACAAUCACCUGAAAUCUUGCAAUGUUUCAGUUGAUCUUUUUCCCUUGGAUUGUGGUUGUGAUCAUCUGUUGUGUUUUGUGUGGACUCCUGGUUGGGGAAAACACUACCAGAGAGAGAGAGAGAGAAGCGAAGUCCUAAUUGACCACAGCUUCUGCAGCCCUGUUUGUUUUGUUUCAGCAGCUGCUAGCCGGAGCCUAGUAAGCUUAAGCAGAUGAUAGCUGGAGUACGUAGUAUGUCGGUUUGGUAUUGAGUCUAGUGAAUUCAGUGAAUUCAGUACUUAUGUCGGUUCCAGCAUGUAGCCUAUAUAAAGGCAGGUCUUUAUAAUACUUCAGCAAGCAAUGAAUUUUCUACUUCCUACAUGUGCUUCUCUUCUGCACCUUUGAUUAUCUAAUCUUACCCCACUUCUCUCCCACUGAACCAUGGCGUCUGGCAAGUAUCCCACCCCACAACAUGUUUAUUAUCUUUAUUAUGUGAUAUUGCCCAGUACAUAAUUGUCUUUAUUAUGUGAUACUGCCAAGUACUUACUACCUUUAUUAUGUGAUAUGAACUGAUGAUUUGAAACUAUAUUUAAAAAAAUGCAAGUGCGAUAAUGUGUUUUGUGAUUUCUAAAAUCUUGCCAACAAUGAAAUCUAGUAUUGCGUAGGUGUCUAUGCUUUAUCUGGUUCCCUCUGGUUUCAUUCAUCCUGUCUUGUUAAUAUUCUCCCUAACAAAUUUACUACAUGUUUUGUUCCCUUCCCUAAUAUUUUAUAAGAAUUUAACAUUACACUUAUUAAAUUUAACUUAACAAUUAUUAGAAAGUUCUAAACACUGUUAUAUUAUGUUGAACCGACACUUAGCCUUACAUUGUGUUGGAGAGAGUAGGAAAAGAAAUAAGGGCAACUUUUUUUUUUGCAGAGAGAUGUAAAAGAUGUUACUCCACACAUUCAAUGUCAUACAAUUACAGAGAUGUUACUCCAACACACAUAACAGCACCACAUUCAGUGUCAUACAAUUACAGAGAUGUAGAGUUGUCAGUAUUAAAUCAUUCAAUUUUUCCUGAAUAGACUUUUAAGCUCAGGCAGUAGCUCUAGGCAACACUAUAAUACAUAAUUUGGCAGGCCUCAAGUAAGAACUGCAGAAUUAUUUUGUCACCAAACUUAAAUAAAAUUUGGCUCCAUAUAAAAUUUAAAUAAAAGAACACUUUGGCUCCAUAUGAUAGGAGUAUGUAGUCCAAAUAAUCAUCUUCUUAGUUGAAAGUCUUUAAUUCACAUAGUCCUAAAAUUUCUAACUUGACACAUAAAUUAAAUUUGACAUCAAUAAAAUUUAGACAGUGAAUACAGUUUGGACAGUACUCCACUGUCAAAUUUUCAGUGAGCGAAAUUCAGUUUUGACAGUUUGGAGACAGAUGGAGUAAAAUUCAGUCUUGACAGUUUUGACAGUGAUUAGGCCACAAUGGCAGGCACCAACUUUGAAGCACCACCGCCUGAUCAUUCCUCGUCAGCAGCUAGCUAGACGCUGAAAUUACAUAUUCUAACCUCAGCAUCAGCAGCAGCUACACACUAGAUCGAAAUGCACUAAGCUAACUGCUGAACCCUCAUGUACCAGAGAAAAUAUUAAUUCGUCACAUGGGCAUCCCAAAGCCCCCAGAGAUCUAAAAGGUCUCAAAUUUUUAAAUCCUAGAAACAGUUUCAGUUAACUGUUUUUCAGUUUUCAGUUAAUUGCAAAUUUAGAGUACACCACAUCCUGCAGGUUUGAGGUUUGAGGUUUUACAGUAACAAAUCUUACUAAAGUUUCCUUUACUCCAAAAAGAAGCUACACUACUGUAACUUGGGUAAUUUCAGAUUCAGCAAUCUACAGCACACGCAAAUUCAGAUUCAGUAAUCAAGAGCAAUCUACAGCACAAGCAAAUUCAGAUCCAGUAAUCAAGAGCAAUCUACUGUAAUCCACAGAUUAUUUUGUUAAAGAUCAACAACAUCUACACCAUUUCACCCUAGAGCAAUCUAGAGCCUACACGGUGAAACAGGAGAGCAAGUAGGAGAAAAACUGGCGUACAUGGUGCGAACAGGGCGGCCGAUGCCGACGGUGAAGACGUGGUCGGCGAAGUGGCUGGAGGCGAGCGGCGGCGUGCGCUUGCAGAAGUCCCCGGCGGCGCGCGCUUGGAGAAGUCCCCGGUGGCGCACGCUUGAAGAAGGCUGAGUUUAGCCAAGACCGAUUCUUGGUGUGACUGUGGAGUCGAUCUGAGCAGAUGUAGUCGGGACCGGCUUCGUAGUCGACGCCGUCCAGCCAGCGAGGAGGUUGUCGAUGACGCGCAGGGCCAGCUCCGGCUUGCCGCCCUCGGGGAAGGAUGCCGCCGUUAGAGAGCAGAUCGAAAAAAAAAUCAAGCCUCUCCUAGCCGUGGUCUGCCAUGGGGAACGAGGAGAGGAGCGAGGAGGGGGAAGCAACGCGGCGGCGGUGUGGGGCGGGGGCGCUCCGGCGAGACACGGGAGAGCUGCGCGGGGGAGCAGAGGAUGGGAGCUCCGGCGUGGGGGAGACGAGCAGGGGAGCUCGAGCUCGGGGGUGACGAACGGGGAGUGCGGGUUGUGUCGGGACUUUGCGGAGGUUUUUUUUUGUAAAAUGAUCACAACUUUUUCCGAACGGAGGGAAUAGUAAGGUUGUGCUCUCUCCGUUCCAUAAUUCUUGUCGUGGUCUUGUCAUGGAUUUAGUUCAAAUUAUAGAAGGGAGGGAGUACAUGAUUGAUUGAUGUGAACUGAAACUGGAUCUGAAGAAUUAUCUGAAGCCCAGCCCUGCCCUGUACAUAGCUAGCUGCAGUACCCUUAAUCUCCCUGUAUUUGUGCCGCAUGCAGUGCUGAGCAGCUAACCGCGAGCUGAUACUUAAUGGUGAAAUCGUUUGCAUUUGAGUUCGGUUUCUAGAAACUAGAGAUGCACUAGCUAGUAAGUAGUAUCGAGAUCGAGAAGCGCGUGUCAGAAGAGGCUCAUGGCAGCUUGUGAUUUGACACUCUGAACCAGUUCCCUGUUUCUUCUGUCUUCAGUAAGCAAAAUGCACUGUUGUUGUAGAAUAAUGCUACACCCACGAAAAAUUACGUGGAAAUUUUACAUAACGGCUGACGUGGAAAUAAUACAUUAUACUAGUAUAAGAAACCAGACACCCGAGAUUUCUCCACUUUGUUUUCUAAUCCAAAUAUUAAUCAGCAAUUGCACCAUGUCAAAGAUGAGGUGCCCAACUGACGACUGAAAGUUCAGUCUCUGAAAAUGGGACCCACACGGUCCAGUGCAUACUCGUAUUUCCUUUUUGUACUGGCCUUGACCUCUCCCCUUGACUGAGCCACUCUCCCCUGUCAAGAAGCAGAGCUUCCAUUCUUUUAAGAGACGGCAUCACUACAAUUUAAGCUGAGUGGCCAAGCACCAGGAAGCUCCAUUAGUUUAAGAAAACCACACGAGUACUAGUAGGAACCAGAUGAUUUCUCCACUUAGUUUUCUAAUCCCAGGAUUAAGCAGGGUUAGACUAUGCCAAAGAUGAGGUGCCCAGCUGGCUGAACACAAUAUCACACGUACAUGUCAAAUACAGUAUAAUAAAUAGUUCCAAAUCAUAAGUUUAUAUCACAUGAUAAGACAGUAAAUACUUGAGAGAAUUAGACAUCUCAAUUUCUUUCAAUUCAAAUUUGACAAAUGCUAUUGUUCAUAGAAGCCUGGGAUUACGAAAAUAUAAAAAUUUGACAAUGCCUUGGUUCGUUACAUGUUCUCCUGAUUGCUUUGGUCGUCUAGCAGGAGAAGGGAAGCGCAAAUAUAAAAAGUGAUCCUGCAGAAUGUAACAAUCCCCAGAAUGAUGUUAUUUCAAAUACCAGUUGCUCAACUCGCAACAAGAAUUCUGCAUACAGAGAAGAAAAACAAGCAGCAGAAUUCUGCAGAGGUGAUAUACCACAACUAGCAGCCGUCAAUAGGACAACAAAAAUGUCCAGGGAAAGAAAGACAGAGCGGCCCGCAAUGUUACUUGUACUUGAGAUUUAUCUAAAAAGUUUACCAUGUCAUCAUAUGGACCAUUCGUGAGUGACGUGAUCCUUCCAAAAAAUAUAACGAGCACCAGCCCAAAACAAUUGUGCAAACUCCUAGAUCAAUUUAUAUGGGUUGCAGUUAAGGUUGCAGAUCUGGGGCAUAAACUGUACACAAUCUUCCUAAUGAGCUAUUCCUAACAUGAAUGAAAUCAUAGCAAAAUGACAGUCAAAAGCUCAACAUGAGAGAAACUAGGUUGGGAAAAAGGGACUGAAGUUCCAAUGCACUGCAAAUAUUUAAAGUCCCUGGUAACUAGGCUUGGUUGCUGAUAGCGCAGGCUGUGACUUGUGGAUUGCAAGAAAUGGAACCCAAUUAACCUGAAUUAUGCUAAUACAGUUGCAGCCCUACCUCUCUUACAGCAGAUCAACGUAUCAAUCUAACCAAUUUCAAAUACAGACAGAGAGGAUCUGCCCUGGCCUAUGUCAAUGUCUACCUACUCUUACUUAAUUUAUAUUGCCUUCUUUUUCUAAGUAUCUCCCUUUUUACAUUUCUAAGUAUUGCCCUGGCCUACGAUUUUCUUAGUCAUUUAUAAUAUUUGGUCAUAAAACAGAUAGACCCACAAACUGGCCAAAUAUUUGCCCUUUCUGCAGAUUUGAUCCCAAGUUGAGAGAGUGAAAGGUAAAAAAAAAAAUGACUAGCACAAAUAUUGAAUUUAAGUACUUCGGCCCUUAGCCCUCUAUGCUUGUAUUCCUGGGAGGAAUAGCUCUCUCCUAUACCUCCCCCGCUCCAGCCAUCCCAUCGGGCAUACCCUCCCCCUACCCCUGCCCCACUGUCCAGCGGGGCAUUGCCCCCCACACCCCGCCCUCCAUAUUGCCCCCCGCCGCGGGCUCGGUCCGUGCGCUUCAUCGCUUCGACGUGUCGCCGGUCGUCGGCAACAACUCCCCUGCGAGCUUCGUCCUUCUCUGCUGCUGGUGGCUUUGGAAACGCCGCAAUGCAUGUGUCUUCCGGGGAGACGAGAUGUCCCUGGUCGCUACGCUCAAGGCCUGUCGAGAUGACGCGGUGCUCCGGCGUGGCCGGAUGAAGGCCGAUGAUCAGUCCCACAUCGACGUUUGGUUGUCUGUCCUUAGCUGAGCCGCGUGACUCGCGAACUAUGAGAGUUGCGCUACGCUCUCGCCCCCUCUUGUACUGAAUAUACUAUCGGGUGGUUUUGCCCUUUUACGCAAUAUAUACAGGUGGUGGAAGGGCUCCCCUUCCCCCCCGGUGAAAAUUCAAAAAAAAGAAGUACAAUACAAUAGCAACAAUCCUAGAGGCAUCCAUCAUCUGUUCCUUUUGUGUGAAAACAAGAGCUUUUCUUUUGGAGUGAAGGAGCCAACCAGUUCCCAAUUUCAUCAAGAAAUCAGUGUGUUUAGAACACUAAACCCAGACCCCAGCAUAGGCCAGACACUGAAACCAAGAACUACAACUUCACCUUUUAAGGCACGCAGUUUUAGCUUCAAGCAAGAAGGGAACAUUAAUAGAAUAACUGUCUAAAUGUUAUUCCUCCAAAGACAAAGCUAGGCUGAGUAUUGGUACAGUACCACACUUCAAACAAUAUGCUAGUUUUGAGGCGAGGAAAUAGCGACAGACCAAUAAGCCAUGUAACCAAUAAAAUUUGCUAACCUUGAUGAUGUCUGUUCACUUCAAGUACAACCUCAUUGGUGAUGUAUCUGAAAGAAAAAGGACACACGCCCAAUAAGAAUUCACUAAAAGAAAUGGAGAUUAACACAACAGAUAAAUUAUUCAGGCACAAACAACAUGAUGUUUCAUAUAAUCACCAAUUUACAAUCAGUAUGUGCACAUAUAGCCCUGCUCCCAGCCAUUCCGUGGGGCAUAGCUCCCCUUAUCCUGCUACACUCAAGAUUCAUCAAUCCUGCNNNNNNNNNNNNNNNNNNNNNNNNNNNNNNNNNNNNNNNNNNNNNNNNNNNNNNNNNNNNNNNNNNNNNNNNNNNNNNNNNNNNNNNNNNNNNNNNNNNNNNNNNNNNNNNNNNNNNNNNNNNNNNNNNNNNNNNNNNNNNNNNNNNNNNNNNNNNAUAACAACACAUAGAUCUCACUACUUUCAGAUACAGAGGGAGAGGAGUUCCCCCAGUUGUGCUUUUCUGAAAUUACACCUUGUGGAAAUUGCACAACAGCGCAUAAUUUCAAACCAAUACAAUCACGAAAUAAAUACACACAUGAAGAGAAGAAAUGGUCUCCACUUCUCCUUUGAGAACAAACCAACAAACGCGUGAUACAACUAGAACAACAAACAUGGCUCAAACACAGCAAACAUCGACAACAACUAUCCAAGGAAAAAAAUUGACUGAAACUUUGCAAGAUUUCAGGUGACCUCACAUUAGAUAUCAGGUGAGAAGGCCACGGAAUGGGCCACGCCCACAGCUGUGGCGGAGUCGUUUGAGAGCCAUCCGCAUCGAUGGUCUUUUCUUCGGAUCCACAACGGUGCAAUCCACGCCCAGCCUAAACACAAUUGCCAUCUCCUCCAUGUACCGCGCUUGAUCUGGGAUGCCCUUCUCCAUGGCACUCUGGAACAUUUCCUGUUGGUUUGCCAUCAGUUCAGUGAAGUUGCUCCGUGCCCAGGUCGCCAAAUGACCAUCCGCUCCAGCUUCAUUGGCCACCCGCCCUGUGACGAGCUCCAGCAUCAGCACACCAAAGCUAUAAGUGUCUACCUUCUCUGUCAGUUGGCUUGCUGCGGUCGCAUAUUCUGCAGUUAAUCAUUUGUUGGCACUAGUUAACAGAUAAAGCUAGUUAAGACAAGAGUUUCCAGUAAUUAAGAAAAAGGUAAGACAUAAUUGCAUUGCAUACAUAAACCGCCCAACAUACCUGGAGCUGCGUACCCAAAGUUACCAAGAGGCAGGUUCGCGAUUGGCAACGGUUGGUCGAGCCCGGCCAGGUUCAUCUGUGCAGCAUCAAAACUAGCUAUCACAGCUUUGAAAUUUUGAUCAAGCAAGAUGUUCUUAGAGUUGAUGUUGUGGUGGACAAUCGGCUUAUUGCCUCCAUGGUGCAAGUGGCAGAGCCCUUUGGCCACGCCCAUGGCAAUGGCCCUCCUCUGCGGCCAGCUCAGCAGCCGAUCGGCCCCCUCCCGUUGGUGCAGCCAGUAGUCAAGGCUGCCAUUCACCGGGUACUUGUAGACGAGCAUGAUCGCUUCGCUUCAUCCCUCUCAAUGACCAUCUAUGAUCCCGAUGAUGUUAUCGUGACGGUCUCUGGCUAACAGGAUCACCUCUGACUUGCAGCGGUCCUUGACAUUGUCAUCCACCUGUAGUGCUUGGUUCACAUUCCGAAAUUUCUUGACGACCAGCGUAGCAGGGAGACCAAUGCCAGCAGCACGCUGAACGUGUAUUAAGUACAGUUCGUCCGCCCCUAUCAUUCUGCUAACCCACACAUCUUUCUUGUUGCUUUCAGUAAGUUUGUCGACUAUGUCUUGACCAUUGUACUCAACCAGCAGCGGCGCUGCAGGAUGGGUCCAGAGCUGCAUUUCCUUAGCAGCGGGGUAGCCCCUGAAGAGGUAUCAGCCUGCAAACAUAUUAUAUAUUAGUAUUCAAGUAUUAGUGUCUCCUUCUCCAAAGAUGUAAGCAUGUACAUGUAAUUACUAAAUAAAGAAAUGUAAAGAGAGGUGUAUGUCUGUAAUCAUUAAGUUUGACAGCAGGAUGUUGAUAGGAAACACCACGGUUACCAUACGUGGAACACGUAAGGGUCAAACUACUGAAAUUAUAAUCUACUCCCUCCGUCCCAUAAUACUUUGUGCGGAGAAAUUAUAAUCUACUCCAAAUAUUAAGAUAUAAAUAAAAAUAUUAAGAUAUACAAUACCAAAUCAACAACAUUAGAUUUAUUAUUGAAUGUACUUUCACAUCAUAUAGAUUUAUUAUGAUAAAUGUCUAUAUUUUUUUCUACAAACUUGGUCAAACUUCACGAAGUUUGACUUCAGUCAACUCUAAUAUGCUGAGUAAAUAAAAACGAAGGGAGUAGUAGAGUACAGUAGAUAUCCUGAGGUUACGUACAGACCUAGGAUUUCGCGUUGACGUGGAACCGUGGACCGUAUAAACAUCCGGUUGUAUCCUGAGAAAGUGACGUUCAUGUUAACUGUUUUCUUCUACUUUGUCAAUGAAAAUCAGCAAUCUGCUGUUUUUUCGUCAAAAAAAAAUUAAUGCUUCUCUCGUGAGUGCCGCCAGUUGGUCACGUACAGAGGCGUGGACUGAACCAACCCGGAUCCGAGUAGUAGGUAGUACGUUUUCACGGGAGCUCCAGAAAACUAAGAGCAUCUCUAGCAGACCCCGCAAAAUUCAUGCAUUUAACAAAAAAAAAGAAUGAAAAGUGGGUAAUUAAUCACAUCAAAUUGGGGUGGCUGAGUGGUUACUGCAGCAUGUUUUGAAUCAGGAAGUCCUUGGUUUGAAUCCUCCACCACACUCCCAGUUCAAAAAACCCACAAUUUCGUUUUCGUUUUUCGCGGGUUAAAUAUCAGAAGAAAAACAAAAGGAUACAUGGGCCUACCCAACUCGCAGCGGGUAGGUGAACGAUGGGCCAGCCCAAUUAUAUGUGCACAAGUGGUUUUGCCAAGGUUCUGCGUCGGUUCGUGCAAUCUUUCAUCAGUUUUGGAAAGGUUUGACGUAUUUAUUUAUUUAUUUUUAUAUUUUUUUCUCACAGAUUUAUUUAUCUUUUCGAGUUUUUUCGCUUCAUUUUUUCAAAUACAUGUCGACUUUUCAAUACACGUUGUGUGUUUUCCGUAUAAGCACCCAGCAUUUUUAAUAUGCAUUGAAUAAUUAUCAAAUGCACCGUCCAUUGAUAUCUACUACUUUCGUCCUUGUUUAUUGGUCCCAAUUGUCAUAUGUGCCAAAUUUUGACCAUAAAUUUAAUUAACAAAAUAUUUAUACAUGUCACAAAAAAAUAUAUUAUUGCAAACUAUGUUUAAAUACGAAUCGAACGGUAUAAUUUUUGUUGACAUGCACCAAUAUUUUGUCAGCUAAAUUUUUAUCAAAAUUUAGCAGAAAUUACAAAUGAAACUAAUAAACAAGGACAGAGGUAGUACGUCGUACCUCGGUUCAGACGUUGACUUUUGAGAUUUAUAACCGCACCCGAUUGUAAUAUGUGCCGGUUAGCCCGGACGUUCGAGACCUGUUCGAGGCGUCCGCCUGGGUCAAAAUAUUGUGACCGAUUAGUGAUCGGACGGGCCGUCUAAAGCGUUUGAGGGCGGUUUGGGACGUCCGGGUGUAGAUGCUCUGAAUUCACCGCAUGACCAUCCAACGAGGUAGUGUGAUCGAAUUCUUUAUCCACCAAGUUUUUUGUUCUUUUAACUGUGAACGGGCCACGGAGCAGAGACAAACAAAUAUCAUGGGCGAGUGAGAGAUUUCGACCUCACAAUGUGUUGAGGCGCAGGUUAAAAAAAGGGCACCGGCGCAACAAUUCGGCCUGUUCACCUAGGGCCCUAUGAUUCCACGUGUGCGAGCGCACAAGAUCUGCUUUGCGUGUUGAUUCCUCGUGUCGUCUAGCAUCGUCUCCACAGACGGAAAAUCCCCCCUCCCCAUCCCUUCCACACCUCCUGCGCGCCGCCAUGGCUCGCCAUAAACAAGCUGCUACCCCCCGGCGUCCUUCAUGUCCAUUGUCGAACGCAGCUCGCUGCACCCCUCGCUGCAGCUCGCCGCAGCCGUUGGCGUCGCCGGAUGCCCUGCCAAUCACGCAGCUGAUUUCCAGCGCCACCCACUUGUUGGAUGCAACUCAAUCGAGUCUAAUGCAGCUUGCGAUUAAUUCGGUUCCAACAUACUCACGCACCCAUCGAACCACGGCGUCGUCGUCCUCCCGGCCGGCUCAACGUCGUCAACAAAUCGUAGCACUGCGUUCCAGCAGAAAAACAAAUCUGUGCACUAAGAAAUUUGAGAAAAAACAGUUGAAGCAAAAACAUAAGCAGGUUCCAGCAAAAACAUGGAUCUUCGUCUUCAGGUCGUAGCAAAAUUUCUGGCCGGUCGUAGCAAAACCAAAAGUCGGUUCCAGCAAAUGGCCACCAUGGUUGCAGCAGCCUCAGAUGCAUGGUUCAUCGUUGGCAGCUGCGGGCUUCCAGCAUCUUGCCGCCAAGGUUCCAGCAUCUGACACCAUGGUUUCAGCUUCCAGCAAUUACGGUUGCAACACCCGCAGCGCGAGUUCACUGAUAGAUGAUUCUGAUGAGUGAGUCGCAAUAAAAAUCAUGGGAUGCCGGUUCCAGCAUCAAGACGUGCUGGUUCCAACAUCUUUCAUUUGCUGGUUCCAGCUCCUUCUACCGUUCUACGGGAGGUUCCGGCUUUUCCUCUUGUUGGUCGCAGCUUUGAUGCUGAUGGGUUGCAGCUCCUUGUGCAUCGCCGGUUGGGAGGUGACGGUUGCUGGCGGUGUAUCAUGAUGGCGGUGGUCCUCUGCGCAACAGGGGUCAGGUGUGGAGGAAAACAGAGGAUGAAGGAGGACGAGCUCGAGCAGAAAAAGACCCGCGGAAUAGGAUAAGGAAGAGGGAGUGGGCUGUGUGGGCCAACAACUCUGCACGUUGUACGUGGGUGAAGGGAGGAGCGAUCGCCUCAGAUCGAACGAGUCGCGUGCAGCCGGCCGAAGUUUCGGCCGGUGCGCUGGUUCUAAACGUUUCCAUUGCAGGUUGGAUGAAACACGCGUUAGAUUGAGUCAGGAUCACGUCUUUCUCUAGUUUUCUUUCUUUUCGUAUCGGCACAGUAGAUAAAUCGUCAAGUUGAGGUGGGCCAGAGAAAAGCUACUGGUUGUUGGCCUGGGACGAAGUUACGUGCAGGUGCAUAAUUGCUGGAAAAUUCGGGCUCCAUCGAUCCCGUACUCGGUUAGAACGAGAUCGAGGUAUUUCAGUUGGGACGCGUCUAGCGGCCGGCUGGCUGCCCGCUAGCGCUCCUGGGCGGCCGGCUUUGUUGUCAAAUAGUAUGCGUAAUUAUCCUUGUGGUUAAAAUGACAUUGUUAAUUAAUCAUUUUAUAUAUGGUCUGUUCUUACGUGAUGGGUGUCUGCAUGCUGCUACAUUAAUGUUCCUCAUGUUCAGUUGUGCAUUAAUUUUUAGUUUUUCAAAACUAUAAAAAACAUAUAUUCUAAACCGUGUGUCGAAAUUCAGAUCCGCUUUCACCGUUGAAACCCUCGCGACGUGCUCUUCAAAAGCAGAUCCUGCAUGGAGAUGUUUCGACCAACUAAUCUUCCUGCCAACUAAACAUCAGUUUGUGUGCAACUAGACUAGAUUGCCGCGCCAACUGAGCAUAUGUAUGUGCCAAAUAGUCCUGUCAAACUAAACAUCAAUGUGUGUGCAACUAGAUUACAUUGUCGCGCCAACUGAGUAUAUGUGUGUGCAACUAGUGUCCUGCCAACUAAACAUCAAUAUGUGUGCAACUAGACUAAAUUACAAGCCAACUGAGCAUAUGUGUGUAUAACUAGUCUUUCUGCCAACUAAACAUCAAUGUGUGUGCAGCUAGACUACAUUACAAGCCAACUAAACAUAUGUGCAACUAGACUAUAUUACAAGAGGAGGUUGCACAUCAACUUUCAUCAAGGCAAUAGACUAUUUGCACAUCAAAGUUGUCGUGGUUGCUAGGUUGCAACCUCAUAUGAAGGUGCAGCUCCAAACACUAGUUUUCGAAAAAAGUUGCACGGUGAAGACGGAUCUGAAUUCCGACACGUGGUUUGAAAAAUAUGACUUUUUAAAAAUUGAAGAACCGGAAUAAAUGCACGUGAAUCUGCUUUGUUGUCCAUCGGAUAUAAUAAGUUUGAGUGCAUUUAAUGAUCAAUCACAUGCACUAGCAGACAAAUCCUACGCAUGCAUGUGUGUAGUAGAGCCGGCCACUCGUUCUCUCCGUUUAGGGCGCGUGCACUUUGGAGGUUUUAGGUUUCAGUUGUGGUAGAAAAAAGCGGGCGCGUCAUUAAAGGAGGAGCGGGGAAUGGCAGUUCAUGAACUUGGCGAGGCGCAGAAUGGACGCGAUGCGGAGCCUGGACGCUGGCACCAGGCGCAUAUGCCCAUCAUUAAAAUUGAGCUCCUCGAGUUGAUCUAGGGUGAAGGAUCGAAACCACUCGUCAAGCUUGGCUCGGUCCUAACCCGGUAGUACAUUGUGGCUCAGUAUGUUGUGGCUCACGUUUCUCGGUAGUACGGUAGUACAAGUUACAACGAUGGGUUCUGCACCAUGCAUGACAUGCAUGGCCGGGCGCGCAAUGCUGCACGCACGAAGCUUCGUCCCGACAGAGACCGAUCGACUGCCGGGCGCGCAAUGCGCAACCGUGCAAGUUGCCGACCGCCCGCUGCUUCUGCAAAUCCUGCACGUCACCAUACGGGCGGCCAGGUAGCUUUCCUUGGCGAUUCCGUGGCUCAUGCCGACACUGAUCCGCCGCGCCGGACCUGAGGUCAGCGCGAUACUGGGACCUUUUCGUUUUCUUUCCUUGAUUGAUUUCUUCUACUCCGUGUGGAAUCAAUCCUUCCAUCCAAAGCCAAAUCGAAAAAAAAAUCGGCUACUGGUUCAUUGAACUUGGACGAGGUCCUUGUAAAAUACUCCCUCCGUCUCAAAAUUUUUGUCUUAGAUUUGUCUAAAUACGGAUGUAUCAAAUCACAUUUUAGUAUUAGAUACGUCUGUAUCUAGACAAAUUUAAGACAAAAAUUUUGGGACGGAGUAUUUAUUUUUCUUUUUGAGCUAGCUGUUGUAAAAUACUAUUAGUACUGAUGUGAUGUGAUCAAUGAAGCGUGUUCAAAUUACUACUCUUUGCAAAACUAUUACUCCGUCUGUAAAUUAAUAUAAGAGUGUUUACAUCACUAAAAUAGUUAUCUAAAUGCUCUUACGUUAGCUUACGGAGGGAGUAUAAGCUAAAUACCACUCGUUUCGUGCCGCGAAAACAGAAUUAAUAUAACUCAGGUACCGUGUUCUUAUUGGAGUGAAUUCCAAUUUUUCUUUACCUUUUAGAUAGCUAGCUAGAUUGACCUUGGUAACAUCUUUUACCUCAUUUAGCAGAAACUCAAUUCUUACUUAAUAUCUUGAAGAGCCCAGCUUCCGGGGUCAAACUCCUAAUCUCGCCAUGCAUUCUAGCAAUGUUAGCCAGCCGAGCUAACGACUGAGCACGGCUUAAAGUAUUAAUUAAAGCGGCAUAUCCUUCUUUUCACUUUUCAAUAUUUCUUCGAGAAAAUGUGAACAAAGUUAUUUGAAAAGGUUAUUUAUUAAAAAUGUUUCAAAAUCAAAAACAAAUUUCUAAUACUCUUUUCUUAAAUGUGAACAAAUUUUGACAUAUGAACAAUCUUUAAAAGGGGAAUUUAAAAUACACACUAAACAUUUUCUUAGUAUACAGUCAACUUUAUUCAAAUACACACUGAACACUUUUUAUAAUAUACAUCAAACUUUUGUUGAACAAAAUUUCUAUACACAAUGAACAUUUAUGUCAAUGACGCUAAACAUUUUUCGUGAAUACGGGUGAUUUCUGGGCAUUCGUUGGAAAUAUUAAAAUUCUGGGCAUUCGUUGGAAAUAUUGAAUUUAUGGAAAAUAAAAAGCUCAAAAAAACAAGUAAAUCUUUUUUAACAAUUUUUAAAAAUGAAAUGAAAGUUUGCACUAAACAUUUUCUUUGCACUAAACAAUUUUUAAAAUAUAAGGCGAACUUUUGCUGAAUUAAGCUCUAUACACAAUUAAUAUUUUUUAUACACAGUGAACAUUUUUGUCAAUGUACAGUGAACAUGUUUCUUCAAUACGAUGGUUUUCUUUGAACAUGAAUUUUUUUUGAAAACUGAACAAAAGUAGAAUUUCAAACUUUUAUUAGAAUCUGGAAUUCCGAACUUUUUUUGAAACAUGAAUAUUUUUCGAAAAUGUGAACAAAAUUUGGAAUUUUCAAACAUUUUUCAAAAAUUCAAACAAAAUUUGAAAAUUCUGAACAUUUAUGGAAAUCUUAAAUUUAUGGAUAAAAAGGAAACGAAAUAAGGGAAAAAAUAAAGAAACAAAAGAAAAAAUGAAGAAAUAAGCAAAAAAAAUAAAUACUAAAACAAAAAUAAAAACAUGAAAAAAAAAAGGAAAAACCUAAGAAAGAAAGCAAAUCAAUAGAAGAACUCAGGGAAGCUUCUAAAAUGUUCCCAAAACCGGUUGCUCACUUGAAGUGGGACGGCCCUUGUUACGUCUAUCGCUCGCUUCACUUUAGCAAAGCCGCGACGGUUUGACACUUAGGGCAACUCCAACGCACGACCUCAAAUGGACGGUCGUUUUGUCCGGAUUUUGUCCAUUUGCAUCGGCAAAAUAAAGGUGCGUGUCCGGUUUUCGCUGCCCGCCUAUGGGUGCACCCAACGGGCUGGCGCAUCGCAAACAUGUGCCCGUUUCGAACUUNNNNNNNNNNNNNNNNNNNNNNNNNNNNNNNNNNNNNNNNNNNNNNNNNNNNNNNNNNNNNNNNNNNNNNNNNNNNNNNNNNNNNNNNNNNNNNNNNNNNNNNNNNNNNNNNNNNNNNNNNNNNNNNNNNNNNNNNNNNNNNNNNNNNNNNNNNNNNNNNNNNNNNNNNNNNNNNNNNNNNNNNNNNNNNNNNNNNNNNNNNNNNNNNNNNNNNNNNNNNNNNNNNNNNNNNNNNNNNNNNNNNNNNNNNNNNNNNNNNNNNNNNNNNNNNNNNNNNNNNNNNNNNNNNNGACUAGGACUCCUAGUCCUAGUCGGGCCCCCUUCCUUUCUUUCGGAGGAGAAAAAUGGAAGGAAAGGGAGAGGGAAAGGGAAAGGGGGCCGCGCCCCUCCCCUUGUCCAAUUCGGACUCCAAUGAGGGGGGAGGGGGUGUACGCCACUCCUUGUGGGCUGCCCUCUCUUCUCCCCUAUGGCCCAUGUUGGCCCAUAACUUUCCCCGGGGGGUUCCGGUAACCCCUCGGUACUCCGAUAAAUAUCCGGACCACUCCGAAACCAUUCUGGUGUCUGAAUACUAUCGUCCAAUAUAUCAAUCUUUAUCUCUUCAUGAUUUUGAAACUCCUCGUUAUGUCCGUGAUCUCAUCCGGGACUCCGAACAAUCUUUGGUCACCAAAAACACAUGACUCAUAAUACAAAUCGUCAUCGAACGUUAAGCGUGCGGACCCUAUGGGUUCGAGAACUAUGUAGACAUGACCGAGACACAUCUCCAGUCAAUAACCAACAGCGGAACAUGGAUGCUCAUAUUGGUUCCUACAUAUUCUAUGAAGAUCUUUAUCGGUCAAACCGUAAUGACAACUUACGUCAUUCCCAUACUCUAGAUUCCGACAGGGAAAGCCAAUAUCCGCCUAGAACUUGUUAGCCAGCUCCUCAUCAUUCUUCUUCUGGCGAGCCAUGUGCGCAUCACGAGAAAACCGUCGAGCGGAGACUCCAUCGCAAUGGCCUCCGACGCUGCACCCAGGGAUGGCACUACCGCCGGUGAACCCGCACAAAGUCGUCAUCCGCAAGGCAAGGCAUAGAAAAUGAGACCCAUUGGACAGAGGCGCCGGCGAUCAGCAUGGUCCCAAGGUUAGCCGUGUCGCCUAGGAGCGACCCUUGUGUUUUGGAAAGCGUAUUUGGAUAGGUUACUGAUUCGCAAAAAACAAAAAAGAGAAGCUUUUGUUUGACAUGACUGUUAUUUGUCGGCGUGAUUUUUAUGUGUGUGUUGGUGUUAACUGUGUGCAUUAUAAGUAUGCAAAGGCCAGAUGUAUACUUGUUGUGUUUGUAUUUUUUUAUGCUUUAUUUUGAUCUAAUAAAUUCACCUUUAUCGCAAACCAACAUGUGGUUGGAUGGUUACGAGGACAGUGGUUACCCCAACCCACUAAAGUUUGAAUCCUAGAUUUGACAUUGCUGCUUGCAUUAUUCCUGGAUUUAUUUCACGCUUUCGGCGAUGUUCGUUUAGUGGGAGGAGACGUUCAUGUCGACUGCAAAGCGCCAUGGUGACUUCAUUAAAUCACAAGAUGCAAUGGCAGCUCCUUCUCUCGGAGGCGCGCCGAUAAGGGUAGGGUAUCACGUGCAUGCGUUCAUAGAUUCUUGUGUGUGUGAGCAACUUUGAUUGUACUGUUUUGAGAGGAAAAGAUCACCUUUGUCAAAAAAUAAUUUCCCUGGUCCUAUCAGUUUCUUAAUGAAAUGGCAAACGGAGAGCGACAGAGGGAAGAGAUAAGCUUUGGGUGGGUCCAUGUGAAGUAAUGGUGGGAUGGCAAGGGAAAACAACAGCGUGGGCGGUCACCUCUCAGCGUUGGAUUGGUUUCUCAUUUGAGGUUGGAUACAAUUAGUGCCGCGGGACCGCGGGGCCAUGACUAAUUAGAGCAUGUACAAUGGUUGAAAGAUAAUGUUAUCUUAAGUCUUGCAUGUAAUUUAAAGAUAACAAAAAAAUAUGUUUAUAAUGGAUCAUCUUUUAGCCUUUAUUUUUAAUAACUAGUUGUUCCAAAAAACAUGAUGAGACAUACUCCCUCCGUCCCGAUUUACUCGUCGUGGUUUUAGUUCAAAUUUGAACUAAAACCACAACGAGUAAAUCGGAACGGAGGGAGUAUAUUGUACAUCAUCUUUUGUCUUCUCUUAUGAUUUCUCUCUUCUCGAUAUCAUCAUUUAUCCUACGUGACAUUACUAAAAUAGAACCAUUCUACCUACCCUUAGCGCUCGCCUAUCAAAUAUCAAUGCGGACAGUGAUACACUAUCUGUUGACAGCUUCACAGAAACAGCUAGGACUUGGCACUGCUGCUCCAGGAAAAAUCAACAACGCGGUCUUUUAAAAUUUGGGUUGACUCUUCUCCUUUUCCGUCGGGAAAGACGAUGUUUCGAGGAAACGCUCAUCCCGUUCUGUCUCCGGCUGCUCAUAUAUAGUAGAGCUUUGCAGCUUGGUGAGCUCAGAAUUCUCUCCAUUUCUCCAACACCAAGUCUCUCUCUCUCUCCUCCGCCCCCUCCAUCAACAAUUGUGCUUCCUGUGCUCCAGCUCCCGCUGGGCUCACAGUCGGGCGCGCUUUGUGUGCUCGAGCUCCACCGUACAAGGUCAGCACCUUCUUCCCCGAAGCACAGAUUGUCCAUCCCAACUACGGCUGAAUUUACAACUUGUCAUCUAUCUUUCCUACCAACUUUCAUCCUCUAUUUUUUUUAAGUUCUCAUUGGCAAAUAGAAAACUUUUUAAAAGUUCUCAAAUUAUUUCAAAGAUUCCCCACAAAAAAUUGGUUCACAAAAAUAUUGUUUUUGGAAAAGAAAUGCUCCACAUGUCACAAAGACUGAAAAAACAACUAUGACAUGUACAUGUCAUACAUUUAUGCACAUAUGUAAUUCUCAUGUAAAAUAUAUGUAUUUAUGCAACCUAUGGGGAAAAAAUAUCUUCUCAUACUUACUAUCUGGUCACACAUGAAAUCAUUUUAAAUAUUAGCUAUCACAAUGAUUAACUCUCACAUGUAUGGGUAAUAAUUGUUUCCAAUUUUCUUGAAAAUUUCACACGACAAAUUUUCAGUGUUUCUACAUAUCAAUAAACCUUUACUCACAAUAUGUCCAAUUCUCAACAGAAAUAUGAAAACUAACCAUGUUUUACACUUACAUAUGGGAGAAUAUUAUUCCGCUGAAAGUUACUCAUAAUCAAAAUAGGUUUGCUCUUAGUCUUGCUAAUGUGGGGAGAUCUGGAGGUAGCACCGGUUGUUGGUUGCACCAAGCUCCAGACUGUGCAAAAAGUUUUGUAUUAGCAGACUGUAACACUAUUUCUAAGGAAUAAAAUACCCACUAUUUUACCGCAAAAAUAACAUAUGGGGGAAUAUUAUUAUCUAGAGUUUGUUUUCUUAGAGAGAAUAAUAUCGUGGGUGAUAUGUAUCAAUAACAGAAUGAGAGAGGAUGAUUUUUUUUCUUUUUUACUUGGCCUGUAGAAGUAUAUAUUUUUUUUGAAUGCAGAUGUGCAUAAAAAUACAACAUGCACAUAAUUUCUUUUUUUUUCAAAUGCGUAAAAUCUAUAUUUGUUUCUUGAAAACAGUUUCUAGUAAUUUGAGGGACGAAAUCUGCAUGCUCUUAUAAGUUGAGCGAUGUAAGUUAGUAUAAAAUUGAGGGACAGAAGUUGCAUUUCAGAAAUAGUUGUGACAAAAAGCACUUUUUCAUAUUUGCAUACUAACAAAAUUGGCACAUUUGAUUUAUAUAACUGAAAUUUCUAUAUCUGGAUUACCUUUGUUGCUCACUAGCUCCUACUUCCGGCCUGGUUUAUUAGCCCCACUCAUAUUUAGGGUCAUAUUUUGACCAUGAAUUUAACUAAUAAAAUAUAUAUUUUCCAUAUCAAAUAUAAUAUGAAGGGGACCAAUAAACCAUGACGGUGGUAGUAGUUUUCAUGGAAGAAAUAUUUCUUACUUUUAUACCUUGCUUGCUCUCUUUUUUGCGAAUGACCUUGCUUGCUCUUAUUACCAUUUGAUAUAUGUCAAUGAAAACAUGCCAACGAAUACUGGAGGAACGAUAUUCAGAGACUAAUCUCCAACUAUCCCGUCUGUAAAGCUUCUGCAAGACUGCAACCCUGUAGCUCCAUCGACUGGAUUGUUUCACAAGAUCCGACUCAAUUUAGAAAGAGUUGCCACCCAUACUCUAAAGCCAAUGGAUAAAUAAUCAUACAAAGCAUGUGACUACAAUGUACCACAUGCAGCAAUAAAUCUUUAGUUUCGAUGUGUCAUUUGCUUUACCUGCAGUUGGACCGCUUUUCUUAUGUGUCGAUAUUCUAAAGAAAUUACAGGGAGGAUAUUCUUAAAUAUUGUUUGGGAAAAUUUUGUUGUACUCAUGAAGUCCCAAAAUAUACAAUGUAUUUCAUCAUUAAGAUAAACCUCUUUAAUCAGCAAUUACUUUAUUAUUAAUAUGGAAUUUACAUAAUAUAAGAUCAUAUAAAUCAUAGGUACUUUUGAAUGUAAUAAAAGUAAAUAAAAUACUAAAAAAUUAAUAUUAUUUCAAAAAACUAAAUAUUAAUAGAAAUGAAAUGAGGAAACCUCACAAUUUAUAUUGCUAGUCUAGUUUGGUCCGACCAUUCUAUAUCUUUAUGUGUUACGGGUGGUCAAACUGUCAAUGAUCUCUUCUUGUAUAUAGGCACGGUGAAAAAAUGGUCGCUGGUGAGAAGCUGCCUGCUUCUAAUUUUAUUUCAAUAAUCUCCCUCAGUUCUUGUUGUUUUUCUGAUAUGAAAAUAUUUCUGAAGUCUUAAGAGAGGUACAAAGUCGACGUUCUUCAGAGACAAAUUGACAUGGCGAACAAUUUACAUCAUGUUGUAAGUGCAAUGCCAGAGGCCAUUUCGUAUACAUUGUUAAAAGAAAUUACAAAGAACUUUUCAGAUGAGCUAAAAAUUGGUGAAGGUGGCUUUGGAAAAGUCUACAAGGUAUGCGCAAUAAUUAGAUUUUCUUUUCUAUUUUUCCUUCUUCUCUGGUGCAACACUAUCUGCUGAUGGUUGCGCUGCCCUUCCCUUUGCCUCUUUGACAUACAGCUACUCUAUGUACCCUGAUAUGCUUUAUUAACAAAACUCCCCCACCGUUGUUGUUUGAAAAGAUUUUCUGUUUUUCAGAUGAUAACACUACAAGAAACACAAUUAAUAGAAUUUUUGUUUUGACAGGCAAUAUAUAAUGAAGAAGAAAUUGCUGUGAAAAGGCUUUUUCUGAUAUCGGGCCUUGUUGAUGAGACAAAAUUUAACAAUGAACUUCUUAAUCUUGUGUGUGUCCAACAUCAAAAUAUUGUCAAGUUAGUUGGCUACUGUUAUGCAAUACAACGUCAAGUUACUGAAUACAAUGGAAAACAAACUUUUGCUGAUGUGGAUGAGAGAGUUCUUUGCUUUGAGUAAUUUCCCAGUGGGAGCCUCAAGAAGCAUCUCUCUGGUAUGAUCGUGCUUUACACAGAGUAAAUAUUUCCAAAGUCUAAAUACACAUCUUGGUAAUACAGCUUUAUGUUAACCUCUUCAGAUGAAUCACGUGAACUUAAUUGGUACAGACGUUACAAAAUAAUUGUCGGGAUUUGUGAGGGUCUAAAUUUCCUUCACAAUGGAUCUGAAAGAGAAAUUUACCAUCUUGAUUUAAAGCCUGCAAACAUAUUGUUGGAUGAGAACUGGAUGCCGAAAAUUUGUGACUUUGGUCUGUCAAGACUCAUUAAUGAUUCAAUAAGAAGCUUUAACACAGAACAUCUUUGUGGAUCACAGUAAGUUCAUACCUCAUGACUCAUGUGAUCAGCUUCUUUCAUCAAUACUGUUAAGAAAAUAUAUAACAUUUUUGUACCUUGCAGUCCCUUCAUGCCACCAGAAUACAUAGAGACUGGCGGAAUCUCUAAGAAGCAUGAUGUAUUCAGCUUAGGCGUCACAAUCAUACAAAUAAUUGCAGGACCUAACGGCUAUGGCGAAUAUGUAGACAUGCCUUUCAAUAGAUUUGCAGAACUUGUACGGACAUAAUCAUCUUAUCAAGAAUAAUGUAGUUGCUUCAAUUAGUAAUAACAUCCUCAGUUGUGUCGUGUUUAAAUCCAAUUUUGUAGGCACUCUUGAACUGGAGGGGAAGGAUAGAGGGAACAUCAAAGCACGUGGAAGAAUACUGCCAGCAAGUCAAGAAAUGUAUCACAAUUGCAUCAGCUUGCGUGGGACAUGACAAAGACAAAAGGCCAACUAUAGGGUCUACGUUGGAACAACUACAAGCCAUAACUCAUAGAACAGUAGAAGAAGAAGAAAGAGAAGGAGAACAGGAGCAGUUGGAACAGAUAGAAACCACGAUUGACAGAACAAUAGAAGAAGAAGAAAGAGAAGGAGAACAGGAGCAAAAGAAUGUAAUUACUAUUCUUAGUCUCUUAAUUAUUUAUUCUUCAUUCUUUUCACCUUCCAAUUUAUUUCUUGAUUGGUUUACAGUUUCAAGUUGUUAAGUAUGGGCCUUGGGGUGGAAAUGGCGGAACUGCCCAUGACAUCGGGGCAGCAUCUUCCCUCCGUCUCAAAAGUGUGACAAUUCGUUAUGGCGAUAUCAUUGAUUCACUUACGUUUUCAUAUAGCGAUCACAGUGGGUAUGUGCACACCGUUGGCCCAUGGGGUGGUACUGGUGGUGCGAACAAAUAUACGGUGAGUGAGCAAAACUUUUGUUUUAAAAAAUUGUAUGCACUCAAACUAAUAACGAAAACUGAAUGUGCAUGAUUUAUUUUUCCUGAGUUAUGCAAUACAUGACUCUUUUAAGUUAUACAUUGCUGCUUAUAUAUAUAUAUAAAGUAGCUGACUUGGUACUGUUUUCUAUUCUCUUAUAGAUCAAUCUUGAUCCAACAGAUUUUGUGAAAGAAAUUUCUGGCAAAUUUGGUCCAUAUCCCUUAUCACAUUCCAAUGUCAUAACAUCUCUCAAGCUGGUAACCCAUGAGGAUACAUAUGGCCCUUUUGGAUUUGUAGAAGGAACUCCUUUUUGCGGCACAUUGGAAAGCGGAUGGGCUAUAGUUGGCUUCUUUGCACGUGCGGAGAGGUAUGUUCAUAAAAUUGGUGUGUAUGCCAGACCUUUGACGCUUGAUGCAGAAGGACUGACAGUGGCCACAACACCCGGCACCUCCGGUGCAACCACAAGUAAAUUAUUCUCUCCAUUAUUGCAUAUUGUCAGCCGUUCACAACUUCAUAGAACCCCACCAAUGCAUGCAUCAUUUUUUUUCUAGAACUACCCCUACAUGACACAUAGUUUUUAUUCAAGUAGCUAUUUUUUGGCACAUACCCAAUAGUACUUUUUUUUAUUUUGUUUCAGAAGAAGAAAAUGGUCAAGAAGGUGAUUCAACAGUGUAUGUUCCAAGGCAUUUCUCCAUUUUCGAUAAAGCGUGUUUUUAUUGAAUCAUAAUGUAGCAUUAAGGCAAUACAUUCAUGAUAAUGCACAAUCUACGAUAUGUUAGUACUAACUUCUUCACAGUGAUACAACCUAUUAGUUCAUCAUCAUCAAUCUCCUUGCUAAUCUAAAUUAUGCUCAAUCUAAUUUCAUUGGAGAUAUAUUCCUAAAAAAACACAUUCCUUUAUGCAAAGAAUCUUAGCAAUACAUACCAAUCUCGACUAUCUUGCUAGAUCCACCCAUUAUAUGAUCCACCUAUUAUAGAUCUAUGACUCUGACAUUCACCAUGUACAAUGGCCAUAUGCUUGAGUGUUUCCAUCGUGAAAUUUCAUUUUAUAUAAUAAACUUGCUAUAUUUUCCAAGUUGAUGCAUAUGAUGUUUAUUUUACGCACAUGUUUUGAGGUGGUUUAAUCUGUCCCUUGAAGCAGAGACUGUGACAUGGCUAGCAAAUUGCAAAAUAUAACAAGUCUAACGCUCCGAGUAUUACAAGAAAUCACAGAUAAUUUCUCCGAGAAGAGGAAAAUUGGUCAAGGCACGUAUGGAAAGGUCUAUGUGGUAAGAUUCGGAAUACACAUUAUGCUUACACUAGUAGAAAAAGGACCUAAUGUGAGACACAUUAGUCCCGGUUCGAUUUUGGCCCGGUACUAAUGGUACCAUUAGUGCCGGUUCAAACGGCUAUGCAUUAAUGCCGGUUCGUUUUGAACCUUUAGUACCAGUUCGUGCCACGAACCGGUACUAAAGGGGUGGUGGCAGGCUGCCGUCAGGUCGGGGCCCCGCGAUCACCUUUAGUAUCGGUUCGUGGCACAAACCGGUACUAAAGGGCUAACCUUUAGUAUCGGUUCAUGCCACGAACCGGUACUAAAGGGGUUUGACCUAUAGUCCCGGUUGGAGACACAAACCGGGACUAUAGGGCAAUUUUCAAACUCUACCCCCUCGUAUAUCGUCAUUUCAGUUUUGAAAAAUACAAAAGAAAAUGAUAAAAAAAAUUCAAAAAAUAAAAUUCUUUGAGAUGUAGUUAUAUUACUACAUCUACUAGUUAGGAAAAUGUAAAACGGCUAUAACUUUUGCAUACGAUGUCGGAAAAAAACGUAUAAUAUAUCAAAAAAUUCAGCACGAAAAUGCGCAUCCAAUUUUGACAGCCUAUGUCUUGUUUGCAAUUUUUUAGAAUCCUCAAAUUCCAAAAGGAAAAAAGAUAUGCUCAAAUUUUAGUUUUUUUUUGAAUUUUCAUUAAAUCUGGUCAAACUAUAGUCAAACUACUUAUUCAAGAAGUACUAAUGUUGCUACAUAAUUAUUCAAGAAUUAGUGUUACUCAAUAAUUAUUUCAAUUUUUUGAAUUUUGGUCAAUUUUGGUCAAACUAUGGUCAAACUGUGGUCAAACUUAUUCAAGAAAUAUUAGUGUUACUAACUGUUUUUUAGAAUAAUAGUUCCAAACUCAAACGGUGAAAUGUGUGACCUAAUGCUCAAGCUAAACUGCUGAGGGUUAAUAGGAUUGACAGCUUACAUUUGUUAGGAAAACAACAAGUGCAGACUUGGAAAGUAGGGGCAAUAGAACUCCGAAGUUAAGUGUGCUCAGGCUAGGGGAGUGAGAGGAUGGGUGACCGGCCAGGAAGUUAGACGAUUUGGAAUGAGUGAUCCACACUUGAGCAGUUAAGAUGGGUGAUUAGAGAUUAAAUCAUCAAAUAAUUCAGAAAAUUGAAAAUUGAAAAAAAAUCAAAUAUUUUUUACAAAAUUUAAAAAUAAAUCAAAAAAUACCUUUAGUACCGAUUACACCAACCGGUACUAAAGGUCCCCCAUACCACGGCGCGAGCUCAGGCCACGUGGUGGGCCUUUAGUGGCGGUUCAUGCCGAACCGGUACUAAAGGGGGGGAGCUUUAGUCUCCACCCUUUAGUGCCGGUUGCAGAACCGGCACUAAAGGCCCUUACGAACCGGUUUUAAAGCUCCGGUUUCUACUAGUGUUAGUUGAUUUGUAUCUCGUCAAUAUGUGCGUAUAUAUAUGGAAGAUAGUUUCGAGUACUUUGUUAAACAAUAGGAAUGGAAGCACCAACUUAACUGCUUGAUUUUACAUGAGUUCCAUAACCACACUCAAUCUAGACUUCACUUGCUUCAAUAAAUUGGCCCAAUCCACAUGGUGGUUUAGACCUCCUAGUACUUGGAAAAGGCCAAGAUAGCAUCCAGGACUUUUGACUACUCUGCAAGAGUGGUGCAUGUUCACACCUAGACUAAACAGGCUUCCUCCAAGUUAGACGCAUUGCAGAGGAAACUAACUUAUUCGUGAUCUUAAGAACUACAAGCAUUCUCUUUGUUGUGAUGUUCUUUAUAAAGUUUUUGUAUGGGUUGGUUGUUUGUAUGUGGGACCGAUUGUGUCUUUGUUAUUGUGGUUUUUGUGGGGGUGGCCGUAGUGCAACAUCCAUCUGAUUGCUAGUUGAUUAUAUAAAGUUAAAGAAGAAAGUAUUAAAAACCCUAAACUAUAAAAACAAAUAUAAUUAGAAUGACAAAAUACAAUAGUGGAUCUCAAUUGCAUAGAGAAGAAACAAAUCACAAAAGAAAUAAAGCUUAUUGAUUGAAUUAUAUGGUUUGGAGUUAAACUUACUUGCCAUUUUAUCGUACUACUGUUUGUGGUCCAGCCAUCGACAAAUAACUCAAACAAGAGUGAAUCACUCCUUGGAAUGGGUAAAUCAUAGUAAUUGAUUUCCCAACUGCAAUACCUUAAAUAAAAUCCUAUCCAUAAAGUCUAGGGAGCAAGAAUUAGACAAGAUAGAUACAUACAUUUGAGAGAUUAGCGACCUGCCGUACUUCGGCAACUGGCCGAGAAGACGAGGCCGACGCCACAAUGAACAAGUGCAGGAGGCGAGGAUGCAACUAUCAGAUCGAGCAAUCAAUUCAUGUGCUUACACGUCACUAGCCUCAUGGGCCAAACCCGCUACCCGCGUGCGUGGACGUUGUGAAGUAGCUAACUAUGUGACUCACCUCAGGCAACAUUGUGUAUCCGUGAGAACAUUAGUAGUAUGGGGUCAGGAACUGAGGAACUACCUUCUUUAUUUCUGUGUUAUGUUAUUCAGAAUAAGUAAAGUUUAAUUGUGUGCAACUUGUUGAUGACUGUGAAUAAAGGUGCUUAUAAUAGAUUUUUAACAGGCAGAGCUUGAAAAUGGAAAAGAAAUUGCUGUGAAGGUGCUUUACAAUAACAUGCCAAAGAUUGAUGAUGAACAAUUCCAAAGUGAGUUCGAAAACCUUAUGAGGCUCGAGCAUCACAACAUUGUAAGGUUAGUUGCCUAUUGCUAUGAAACACAACAUCAACCUAUGCAGUACGGGGGAAGAACAGUUUUUGCUGAAAGGACAUACAGAGCGCUCUGCUUUGAGUAUAUGCAAAAUGGAAGCCUUGAAAAACACCUUUCUGGUAUGAUCUUGCUCUAUUCUUCUCCUCUUUUUUCUUCAAGAAUAUGGUGCUCUACUUGCUUUUUGCUGCUUACCGUGUGAAUAAAAAUGAUUUUGUAUAUUUGUAUUUCAUACAUGUGUUCUUUCCUAAAUUGCAGACGAAGGUGAUAGACUUGACUGGCAUACAUGUUACAAAAUUAUCAAGGGUACAUGGAAGGGUUUAAAGCACCUUCAUGAAGGAUUCGAUCAACCAAUUUACCAUUUGGACCUAAAACCAAGUAACAUAUUGUUAGACAAGAACAUGGUGCCAAAGCUUGCGGAUUUUGGUUUGUCCAGGCUCUUCGGUGAUAAACAAACCAUAAUCACACAAACUCCUAUAGGAACAAUGUAACUUAAUUAUUGCGCCUUUUUUUAAUAAAUUUCUUUCAUAAUAUGCAUAACAUGUUCAAUUACUAGAUAUUAAUAUUGUAUAUAUUUGGCCAUGCAGUGGAUAUGUGCCGAUGGAAUUCUUACAUGGAAACAUCGUGUCGAACAAGUUUGACAUAUUCAGCUUGGGUGUUGUAAUGAUAAAAAUAAUUGCAGGCAAUGGAGGCCAUUCUAGAAGUGUCGAAAUGCCUCUCCGUGAGUCUUUUGAUAUGGUAAGAAAUGCUAUCUUUUCACUUGGAAAAGUUGAUGUUAUUUUUUAUUACUUGUUUUUCACUACUCACUCAUAUUGGAAAAAUAUAGGUUUUUUUACCCAACACUAUAGAACAAUUGUUCUAUGGUAAAUAUAUUAAAAUAAAUAUAGUACAAAAUAAUACACACACCCAAAGGGAUGAACUUCAGCUAAGGAGCUAGCCAAUGCCUGCUCUGGGAAUGAAACUCAUGUUUACAGAUUAUGAUCUAUCCACUGAGAGAACCGAACUUCAAACUUUUGCUUGAUCUUGUGUCUGAGGAGCUUUAAGUCUUGCUUAAGGUGGAAUCUCCAAGAUUGGAUCGAAUGUGGAAUUGCUCUGAAAACUUUACCAUUCCUCUACAUCCAUAUGUUCCAACAACCGAGAAUGAUGAUCUCAACUGCAAACUGAUUUGGCAAGAGCUUUAUGGCCAGGGUGGUAUCCUCAUAAACUGAUGUGCCUCUAUUUCUAUUUGGAAUCAAGAGUUCCAACAUUCCUGCAAAGUUGCAGUCCCAUAAUAAGUGCAUAGUUCUCUCUUCUACCUGUUGGUUACAAUUAGGGCAAUAAAUGUCAUCUAGUUUCAUGCCUUUUCUGAGUAGGAGAGCCCUAGUGUUGAUUCUACAAUGAGCCACUAGCCAAAAGAAUAUUUUGUGCUUGAGUCUGCUUGAACUGUUCCAAAUAAUGAUUAAAAGGGGAUGCUCUUCAUGCUGUUCCAGAAUCUGAUUAUAGAUGUGGAUUGUUGAUGGCCUGCCAGCAGCCCCAACGAUGCUCCAUUUAUCCUCUCGUUUGGAUGUAUAGUGGGUGCCAGGGCUUAAAGUUGAUUAAAUUCCUCAUAUGCUUCAAUAGAGAGAGGCAUGUGAAAGUGCUCAGUCCAAUCAUGCUCUCCAUAAAAAUCUAGAAAAUAUUGUUCAUCAUUCACUGCAAAGGAGUGAAGAUGUGGAAGGGUAGAUUGUAGGUUAUGACCAGUCCAAUUAUCUUUCCAAAAGAGCACAGUUUGUCCAGAUCCAAUGGUGCACCUGCUAAUCUGCUUAAACCUGUCUAGGAGGCAUAUGUGAGAUUUCCACCAGAAAGAACCUUCAGCUUUUCCUUUUGGUGCUUCUGUAUGAUAAUAUUUCUCUCAGAUCAGCUUAAUCCAAGGUAUAUCUUCUUUGUUAAGGAAUUUGAAGAGGUUUUUCAUGAGGAGAGCCUUAUUGUGGAGAGCAAUAUCAAUUAUACCAAGGCCCCCUUGCUUCUUUGGUAGACAUACCUUGGACCAAGCAAUUAGAGUUGUCCCUCUAUCUUCCAUGCCAAAUUUUCUCCAGAGGAAAUUUCUCAAGUACUUGUUGAGUUGUAUCCAUUGAAUCACUACUUAAGUGUGUUACUUUCCUCUGUGCUUUAAUCAGUUUCCAACUAAUGUACUUUGUACAUCACCGUGGGCUUGCAUUGAGUACUCAAUUAAUGCAUUUUUAUCGAUGUGUAAACUAUGUAUUAUAGUCUCAUGUGGAGUGUAAAAUCCUUCCAAAUUCAUGUUUCAAUUACAUAGGUACGAGAAAAGUGGAGGGGUAGGAUGCUGGAAACAUGUCUAGCUUCAAAGCCACUGGAAGCAUAUUGCAAACAAGUUAAUGUAUGCACUGAGAUUGCACUAAGUUGCAUGGAUAUUGAUAGACACAAAAGGCCAAAUAUAUCGGAUAUAAUCAAUCAACUGAAUGGCACCGAAGAUGUGGUCAACAAGGUAAUUAAGAUCAUUACUGUCAUAUUUGCUUCCUUUCCCCCCCCCCCCAAAAAAAAUCAGUGGUGGAUCCAAGAGUAUAUAAUAUAAGGGUACUACAUUUUACAUGCAACAUUCAGUUUUCACCACGAAUAUCUCAAAUUUAACACAUGAAUUCAGAAUAUUUCAGAAGUGCAAUAGAAAUGGUUUAAAGUGCUCUCUACAUCAUCGUAGUUCAAAUUAUCCUUUAAGUAGUUAGACACAUGGGUGUAGUGUGACAUAUUCAUUCAUAGUUAAAGACGCAUAAUAGAACAUUUGGUCAGUAAAGGGACUCACUAUGAUGUUACAUGUGCAAGAGGUACACAAUUUUAUAUUGAAACAAAGUUUGAAUUUGAGAAGCAUUCUUUCUUUUCAUCCUACCAGUUAUCAGUUAUCAUGCGCGUGCUCCCUAAAUGGAACUAAAUAUAGUAUAUCAUACACCUGCAUCGUGCAAUGUAAUGUACAUUCUGCAUCAACAUAUCACACAUAACCUUAAUUAGCCACCAACUAGAUGAUCUAUAAACGAUAUACUAUUGAUACAAAUGUUGUUCCUUGGCAGGCAUUUUCGUCGAGCAUUCCCACAAGCAUGUCAUGACUGUGGUCAUGAACAAGCCUGGCCCAAACUUCAUUGUUAAGCUCAAACUCGUUGAGGGCACGAGGAUGCUUGUCACCAUCGGCGGCCAAUACCAUAUGCGGCAUAUCAACAAACCUAGACCUUGAUGAGGAUUACUUUGUCAACCAAAUAUCAAACAAGGAUCAUGGGUUUGUUAGAUUGAACUACUACCCUCCAUGCCCGAGACCUGGCCUAGUUUCGGGCAUGAGGCCUCACUCAGAUGGUGGUCUCCUUACCAUGCAUCCUUUUUGUCGACCACGAUGUCGGUGGCUUACAAGUUGAGAGAGAUGGGAAAUGGUACAGUGUUCAAACCAAGCCUUAUUAGUUCGUGAUUAACUCAGCUGAAUGCAUGGAGGUAAGAAGCUAAGCACUUGGUCUCUUGAAUAAUCUACAAUCAUCGGUGUANNNNNNNNNNNNNNNNNNNNNNNNNNNNNNNNNNNNNNNNNNNNNNNNNNNNNNNNNNNNNNNNNNNNNNNNNNNNNNNNNNNNNNNNNNNNNNNNNNNNNNNNNNNNNNNNNNNNNNNNNNNNNNNNNNNNNNNNNNNNNNNNNNNNNNNNNNNNNNNNNNNNNNNNNNNNNNNNNNNNNNNNNNNNNNNNNNNNNNNNNNNNNNNNNNNNNNNNNNNNNNNNNNNNNNNNNNNNNNNNNNNNNNNNNNNNNNNNNNNNNNNNNNNNNNNNNNNNNNNNNNNNNNNNNNNNNNNNNNNNNNNNNNNNNNNNNNNNNNNNNNNNNNNNNNNNNNNNNNNNNNNNNNNNNNNNNNNNNNNNNNNNNNNNNNNNNNNNNNNNNNNNNNNNNNNNNNNNNNNNNNNNNNNNNNNNNNNNNNNNNNNNNNNNNNNNNNNNNNNNNNNNNNCUGAAUCCUAAUGCUUUGUUGACUUGUAUGCAAAUAUUUGGGGCAAGCAGACAAUGUUUAACGGAAUCUCCUGGAGCCCAGUCCACAUGUGGUGACGAAUGCCGUGAAGGAGUGGCUUUCCAUGACCGUGUUCUAUGCCAUGGAUGGGGAAACGGUGCUGGAGCCAGCGCCUGGUAUGUUGGAUGACAACCAAACCACCAAGAUAUGGGAAAUUCAAGGCCAAGGAUUUCGGUCUUUCUUUCGACUGGACGUUUCUGUCAAGGGAUUCAGUGGUCAUUAUUUUUUUUAUUUUAUUUUUUUGUGUUGAAUUCAGUGGUCAUUAUAUGUGGAAUUACUCUUUGCUUCAAAACACAUACAGUUGUUUGUAUAAAUAUGAUGCUUGGAUGUUACGGAAGAUCAAUGUCAACUGUGAUGUAAUGCAUGGCAAUGGCAGUUCCCUGGUUUUUUGUGUUAAAAAAAAGGCUAUGUCAGGGGCGUUGUAACGAAGAGAAAUUAGCCCUGUUUGCUCAUGUUUCAUGUAAACAAAGGCAUGUUUCAUGUUUCCAUUUUGGAAGAUAGAAUCGUGGUUCAGCAUUCAGCUUCACCUGUUGAUUGUGCUCUCAGGGUGUUGUUUAAAACUAAUUGCUGGCACGUCCUUAGCAUAUCUCUACAUUAUUGACUGUCUAGAUUAUUCUGUUUUUUUAAACAUGGAAAUCAGAGAUUCUGAAUGUCUGAAACUUUUAGUCAUCGAGAGUCGGGCACAUUUGGCUCCUGAUUCUUGCACGGGACGGGAGCAAGCGCAGUUCAGCAACAAAUUAGCUUACAAUCCAUAGGUAGCUUUUCUAAUGCCAUAAACUUAGCUCAUCGAUUCUCUUCAAUGGCAGCAUCUGAAUGUUCAAACAGAGGAGCUGCUCUCUGUUUUUCCUGGACCUCUGCAAGGGACAACAGCAAGCAUCUACUACUAUGUUUUCCAACUAGUCUGGAACUGCAUUCGUCCAUUGGUACCCAAGCAACAUGUAGUACAAUUUUGCAGCACGCAACAAAGAACAGCAAAGGUCGAAAAACAGAUCCUCCAAAGUUAAGAAAUUGUGCAGCGAAAGAUAAUAGUAGUAGCAGUUUUCCAUGGAAAGUUUGCAGCAGAUGAAAACCCAAUCGUCCAUACAAGUCAUUAGCUCCAGAACCGUACCAAUAGUUGCAAAGCAUCUAAAGGUUUCUAUGGCAAUAACGAUUACUUAAGAUACAAGGAAAUCAUCUUCCGGUUUUCAAUGCCAGCUACAGAAUAUUUUGCAUCAACUAAUAAUUGUUAGCUCAUACCCACAAAUUUCCAUUCAAUUUCCUCGUAUCACAAACAACUGCAGACUUCAGUGAGAAGCUUCAACUUCAUGCCCUAUGCUCCCAUCAUCACCAACCAAACAAGGAGGCCAGGCCAUGUUAUAAGGAUGCGCACAGCCAUUAAAUUUCCCCUCCACGAGCAACUCAAGCACCAAGGUGUCCAAUGACAGGGAGAAGAACCAGCAGUGGAGCGUGCCGGCAGGGGUCGUGCAUGUCGUGGACAAGUAGACGUAUCCAAACCUGACCUGCACAACUUUGAGGUCACCCUGCAACUCCAGAGCGAACCCCUGAGUGAUCUCGUCGAUUUCUUCACUCAAAGGUAUCAUGUUAUGCAGCACCCAGUUAUCAAGUCCAUAACCGUCCACACCACGGAUCCAAACAUGCAGGAAGAAACCAGAUUCAUAGACAAUGCAUAACUGUCCAUCCUUAGUCUCCCCGGCCAUGAAAUUGUACCCCUCCACCAUCACCUGCAAGGGUAGCUCCACAGUGGUGAUAACCAUGGUCGCUACGUUGAUCUUUAUCAUUCGUCCUUGGCCAUGGUAAGGCCAGUAAACAGAACCAUCCACCACCAUUCCAGCACCAAACUUUAGGCUGCAGUCACCACCAGUGUGUACCCACGGGUGGACGACCCACUCCCACGUCUCCGACGAGAAGAUGGCGACGCGGAUCCUUCGCUGAUCCGAGCAGACGCAGACCACACGGAACGACCAGGGGUUCUCAUCAGAACACAGCAGGUGGAAGCCAAGGUAGGCAAAAUUGCGGCGUCUCCCGGCCUUGACACCGUCGGGCAACGGGAUGAUGUCCACAGCCCAGGUCAUGGGGUUCACGGCGGCGACGGACGGCUUAUCGAGCAUGUUCCAUAGGAGGAUGUAUCCAUCACGGCAGUCGGUGAUACUCCAAGCCGAGGAUGCGCCAGCCUUGAGUAGGGAAGUGAGGUAGAAGUCCCCGCGGCGGAGGGCAGCGGUGACGUCGGGAUCUGACCGGCGCAGAGGGACGAAGGAGGGGGUGGUAGCAUCGUCAAUUUCAAGAAAGAGCCCAAUGAGGGGCGCCGGGUGGAGGGCGCGGAACAGGCGGCGGAAGGAUGAGGAAGAGCGGAUGGCUCCGAGCCAGGAGCGGCAGGUGAGCGCCGCACGGAUGAGAGCCGGGAGGUUCGGGAGGCGGAGGAAGAUCUCGCGAAGGUCAUCAUCACAGAGGGAUGAUAUGGUUGUGGCGUUGGAGGUGGUUGUGAUGGUUGUUGUUGUUGUGGUGGUGGUGGUGGUUGUGGUGGUGGUGGUAGUGGUGCCAUCGGCGGCAGAGGAGGAGCAUGUGGUGGUGGUGAUUGUUGUGAUGGUUCUGGUGGUGGUUCCGUUGCCGGUGGUAGUGGUGGUAGUGGUCGUGGAUGGGAUCAACGGAGGCUCCACCGGUGCCGCAAGCGUUGCUGUGAGCAGUUCACUGCCCAUUGCUUGAGACUUGAGGUGAUGCUGCUUCUAGAUCCCUGGUUGGCCAGCUUUUCUGAAGACAGUUCUUUAGGAGCACAGCGUUCUCUGCUUGCGGCCAGCUGAAUAAAACGAAUGCAUGCUCCCAGUUAGUUUAUAAACUAGUUGUUGAAAGUAACAGAACUGGAAUGCAAAACUCAUGAGGAAAUAAAUAGCAGCAGUUACAAUAGCCCCUUAUAUGACAAAAGUAGCAACUAGGGGGACUUACAAUCCAGUGAUGCCUCCGUGGCUCUGUUUAGCUGCAUAGCAUAAUUUUGUACUGAACUUGCAAAUGCUGGAAUCUGCUCAUGACAUCCACAUUAACCUCACCUAUCGAAACGCCAUCAACUAGGCACUUCAGUGGAACAUACAUAUACUUGUGAAUAUAUAUCAUGACAAUGUGACUGUUUAAAAAAAUGUAUAGAGUCUGCAUUUUGAACAGAAAAUCAGGUGCACUAUCAUCAUCACUUACAAAAAGCAUGUACCAGUCGACCUUACAUGCCCAGCAAAUUCUGUGAGGCACAAGGACUUGACUUAAUGCUGUAAAUACCACUACACAUAGGCACCCCUUCUUAAUGCUGCAAACACCACUUACUAACCACACUGCCAAAGAAAAUGCAACUUCCUCAACAGCUUCUCGAUACUUACUAUACACAUGAGACAGUCCAACCAUGUAAAAAAGUUGGGCAGGUGUCGCAGCAGCAGGGAGCUAGCCAUCAGUUGCGCUUUCCGCUAUCCAAGUUUGUUCUACCAUCUAGUUUCAGGAGUAGGCUAAACUAGGGGUGGGAGAUAAAGGAACGGCGGGAGUAUAUAGAUAUGACCCCUUGUUAAUGCUAUAAACACCACUCCACAAUGCCAAAAGAAAAUAUAAAUUCCUUGAUUAAUGCUUCUCCCUUCCAUACUUACUAUAUGCAUCAGAAAUUCCAAUCCUGUAUAAAAACUCACCCUUUUAUUAUGGGAUUGGACUGCUCUUGGAUUACCUAGAGUGGGCUACUAAGAUAAAAAUCUACCCUUUGAAGAAGAAUUAUCUAGAGCUUCAAGCUGUGGGACAACCUGAGUCUCUCUAGUUGGUGGCAACCUUGGUGAGGAAGGGAGACAAUACGCCUAUAAAUAAAUCCGUGGAGUUGGACUGAAAUAGUUAGCUCUACAGGCGCGCACUUACCACCGGCCGGCGCUCGGCCGCCGCCGCCGAGGAUGGAGAUGAAACCUGGAGGGAGGACCCCGCCGGCCGGAUCUGGGUGGGGAUGGAUCCAAUCCAAUCCACGGAGCAGCAGAGCACACUCCCUCGUUGUCAGCUCUGCUCUGCUCUACUUUUUUUUUACGCUAGUUAGUAGCUAGCUGCUACGGCCCAUUAACUCGCGGCCCAAGCAAUUCAAUCAGGAGGAGCUGGAUUCUACAGGCUACAAGUUCACGGCCUUCUAUCAAGCCAUGCCAUGCAUUGCGUGCCUCCAACAACAACUUGUUACCCCCCCAAAAAAAAGCAACAGCUUCUUACAAGUUUCGCUCCAAAAAAAAAGCACUUGUUACAAGUAGUUUAGACAUGCCAACAUUUUUCUAGGAAUGCUCUUUUUUCUAAAACCACAUUAAAACUUUAUGGGCAUCAUAAACAAUUUCACAAAGGCACGCGAACAUGUGUUUUCUACCAGUGUGCCGUGAACAUUUUUUAAACACCGUAAACACUUUUCUAAACACCGUAAGCGGACAUUUCUUUUUUGAAUGGCGUAAACAUUUUUAGUUAAAGUAUGUGUACAUUUGAUAUGAAUAGCGCGAACAUUUUAUUGGAUGUACCGAUCAGUUUUAAGAAAGGACGUGAGAACUUAUUUAUUUUUCCAAAAAAACAUGUACACUUUUUGAACCGGGUGAACUUUUUACUUAGUAAAAAUAGUUUAAUAUGAUGUUCACACGGUGCGACCAUUUUGUUGUUGAAAAGAUGAACAAAUUUAUGGAAAAGGAGUGAUUUUGCAUAUUUGGGCUGGGCCAGAAUGCCCAAUGAAUCGAUGGAUGCGCACAGUGCUCUCAGCCUCCCACGUCGUCGUCUUCUUCUAGUAGUAGGAAAAAAGAAAAGAAAAGAAAAAAGUCUCUCUCCUCCUUUCCCCCAAAUCGAUCGACGGACGGACGGAAGAAGAAGAAACUCCUUCCAUGGCGAUUUGGUUCUAGCCUUCCUUCCCGAUUAUUCCCCUUCCUUCCUUCUCGCCCGCCCGGCCGGCUGCUCGCAGUCCCAACCGCCGGCGGCUUCCGCGCAUCCAAUUCCAAUCUGCACGCCACCGCCCAGCUGCCGCCGUGCCCAAGGAGGAGGAGGACCCAAGGAGCAAGAACCACCGGGGCUCCUGGUCCGGGGAGCAACCAAGGUAUGUAUGCUUCGCCUCUUUCAAUCAGAUCAGAGGAUUCGCCGCUACUGAUUCUUACUAGCACACGCACAAAGCAAACAUGUCCAGUAAAAACACAUGUCGCCGCUACUGAUUCUUGUCUCGCUAGAUAACCAACCGACCCCUCACCUGCAGUUUCUGCAUCAUCUGCACUUUGUUUACCUCAUUCACGACCAUCGGGAGGGCAAAGCAGAUGACAGAUUGAUACUAGAUACUACUCCUAUAUUCAUAGUCAUAGGUAAGUUUUACUCAUCUCCUGAUGAUCCAUCCAUCACUAAAUACCAACUCAACUGGAAUCAUAAAUAAAAUAAAAUAGCCUGCACAUAUAAAGUAGUACGUAGUAUUGGGCAGUCAGAUUCAGAGAAUAAGUUGCAAUGGUUGUUGGAUUUUCGUUCGUUUCAGAUAACAAUCAAUGGCUGUUUGUCAUGAUUAGUAAAUGGUGAAUCGGAUUGGUCGCAUCGCAUGCAGGAAGGAGAUAGAUCGAUAGAUGGCGGAAAUGGUCGGGCCGCGCGUGUACAGCUGCUGCCACUGCCGCAACCACGUCUGCCUCCACGACGACAUCAUCUCCAAGGCCUUCCAGGUGAAGAAGAAGAACAGGAUUAAUUCAUUUGCUUCUCUUACUUGCUGACUUACUUUGGGCCCUGCGUCAGGGGGGAUCAAGAUUGGACAGACACAGCUUAAUCAAUACCAAAUGUUGGACUGGUUGGGCUGUCAUGCUAAAAUUACUAGUAUUAACUACUCACUUUAAAUAGGUUCAUCAACUCUGGUGGAGAGGUCCAACAAUCUGGAAACGAAACGUUUCUGUAGCUGAGUCUAGCUAGCAUUUGUGUUUCUAUGAAGGUGCAUAUACUCACAUAGUGAAGUUCCAGUUAACCAUAGAUACUCUGAUCUGUACCAGCAGACCUCGAUAUGCUAUGAUAGUAUAUCUCAAUUUUGAUUGUGCUUGGAGGAUAAAUUCUAAUGCUCUGCUCUUUUGGCUGCUCUUCUAGGGGAGGAAUGGCCGCGCGUUCCUCUUCUCCCACGCCAUGAACGUCACCACGGGGGCCAAGGAGGACCGGCAGCUCAUGACGGGGCUCCACACCGUCGCCGACAUCCACUGCCGUGACUGCCGCGAGGUGCUCGGGUGGAAGUACGAGCGCGCCUACGAGGAGUCCCAGAAGUACAAGGAAGGCAAGUUCAUAUUCGAAAAGGCCAAGAUCGUGCAGGAGAAUUGCUAGGCAAAUAAAUGAAACAAAAAGAUAAGAUUCAACACAAACACAUGUGUGCUCCCAGGAGAAUGCUAUGCUCUCUCUUCUUUGUACAUAGCAGCAGUCAGUUUUCUUCUUGUUUCUAAAACUACUACUACCAGUCUGUUGGUGUUAUUUCCAUGCCAUUUGUGAUUUCUUCUUUCAAAUGGUUUGUGAUUUCUUGUGUGGGGAGACAAGCUUGUUAUCUUCAUUUGUGUGGGAACCAUUUUCUCAUUGGUCAUAAAUAAAAUGGAUGGUUUAACAAUGUGUGAUUGUAUUUCCUUGCUCAGAUUAGUUGCAUUUCCUCAUUGAUCACAAACAGAUGGCUCAUGACAAGCAACACAACACAACAAAUUCAUUUGAUUUGGGAUGAAAAUUCAGUUACAUCCAAGAAAAAUACUAUCAGGCAUUCAUCAUUCUCGGCAUAUCAAUUCAGGUACAUCUCUACUUCAAUUCUCUCUCUGUAUAGGGAAGAAGAAAAAUGGUACAGGUUUGAGUCCUUGGACCAAAACCCUAAUCAAUUCAAUCACGACUUACUGCUUCUACAACCUACAAAAUUGUAUCCCCGCCAUGGCGACAACACGCCGCUCCGUGUUACAGCAAACCAGUCAAGGCAGCUCGACCGUGUCCAUGUCGAUGGCGCUGGACAAGAACAGCAGACAAUGAUAACCUCUCUAUCCCCGCACAUGAGUUCCUGUGAUGGGACCAAACCACGCAGGAGAUGUCA
rnacentral:lncRNA from 1 species